AUUUCUUUUGUUUUUUUUUUUUUUUUUUUUGUUUCAGUGAUCUUUAGUUGUGCAUGCCCUAUUGGAUAAGAGAUAUUGAGGGAAGACUUGUGAAGAUUGAAAAUCCUCAAGAAACUGAGCUGGAAGUGUGCUUGAACAUCAUGGAUAUUCCACCUAAAGACUAGAAUAGCCAACACGGUCAAGAGGAUAAUUUCAAUGCAUAUCAAUCCAUGAGGGACCGCAUGCAUCUGCCUCGUAUGAGUGCACCUUCAUGCAUAGUGCCUCCCACUGAGUAGCUAGUAAUCUGACCUCACAUUGUGCCACUCCUACCUACUUUCCAUGGGAUGGAAAGUGAGAAUCCCUACUCGCAUAUUAAGGAAUUUGAGGAGGUUUGUAAUACAUUCCAAGAAGGAGGAGCUUCAAUUGACUUGAUGAGGCUCAAGUUAUUUCCUUUCACCUUGAAGGAUAAGGCCAAGAUUUGGCUUAAUUCUUUAAGGCCAAGGAGUAUCCAAACUUGGACUGAUUUGCAAGCCAAGUUUCUCAAGAAGUUCUUCCAUACUUAUGGGACCAAUGAUUUGAAAAGGAAAAUUUCGAACUUCUCAGCUAAAGAGAAUGAGAAAUUCUAUGAGUGUUGGGAGAGGUAUAUGGAAGCUAUUAAUGCUUGUCCUCACCAUGGCUUUGACACAUGGCUCUUAGUGAGCUAUUUUUACGAUGGUAUGUCUUUUUCAAUGAAGCAACUCCUAGAAACUAUGUGUGGAGGAGACUUCAUCAGUAAGAAUCCUGAGGAAGCCAUGGACUUUAUGAGUUAUGUGGCUGAAGUUUCAAGAGGAUGGGAUGAACCAAAUACUAGAGAGAUGGGAAGAAUGAAGUCUCAACCUAAUGCAAAGGGUGGGAUGUAUGUUUUGAAUGAAGACAUUGACAUGAAGGCAAAGGUAGCAGCUAUGGCAAGGAGAUUGGAAGAGCUAAAAAUGAAGAAAGUACAAGAAGUGCAAGCCAUUUCUGAGACAUCAGUGCAGACUAUGCCUUGUUCCAUUUGUCAAUCUUAUGAGCACUUGGUAGAGGAAUGUCUUACAAUUCCAGUAGUGAGAGAGAUGUUUGGAGAUUAAGCAAAUGUUAUUGGUAAAUUCAAGUCCAAUAACAAUGCUUCAUAUGGCAACACCUACAAUUCAAAUUGGAGGAACCAUCCAAAUUUCUUUUGGAAACCAAAGCCAUCUCAAUACACACAACUUGCUCAAGCACCUCAGCAAGCCUCGAAUCUUGAACAAACUAUUGUGAACCUUAGCAAGGUUGUGGGAGACUUUGUGGGAGAUUAGAAGUCCAUCAAUGCUCAACUCAAUAAGAGAAUUAACAGUGUGGAGAGUACAUUAAACAAAAGGAUGGAUGGGAUGCAAAAUGAUCUGUCUCAGAAGAUAGACAAUGUCUAAUACGCAAUCUCAAGGCUUACCAACCUCAACACAGUGCAAGAGAAAGGAAAGUUUCCUUCUCAACCUCAUCAAAAUCCCAAGGAUAUCCAUGAAAUGGAGGCUCAAAAGGUAGAAUCUUCAAAGGUGAGGGAAGUCAAAGCAAUUAUAACCUUGAGAAGUGGUAAAGAGGUUGAUCAACCCACAUCCAAGCCAAGGCAUGAUGAAAAGAGUGUGGCAGAAAAAGAAAAGAGUGAAGAAAUUAAAGGAAAGAGAAAAGGGAAAAGUACAAAGAAAGAUGACCAUGAUUCUAGUGUGGAUGAAAAACCCGAGAGGAUAGUCAUCAAGGAAGAUAUGAUGAAGAAAUACGUGCCUCCACCUUUCCCCCAAGCUUUGCAUGGAAAAAAAGGAACUAAUAAUGCAUCAAAAAAUUUUGAAUUAUUGAGGCAAGUGAAGGUCAAUAUCCCUUUGCUAGACAUGAUCAAACAAGUGUCAACAUAUGCAAAAUUCUUGAAGGACUUGUGCACUGUAAAGAGAGGAUUAAAUGUGAACAAGAAAGCCUUCUUGAUUGAGCAAGUGAGUGCCAUCAUACUGUGCAAGUCUCUAGUGAAGUGCAAAGAUCCGGGCUGCCCUACCAUCUCAAUGAGUAUUAGAGGGACUUGUGUGAAAAAAACUUUGUUGGACUUGGGAGCCAGUGUGAAUUUGCUACCAUAUUCUAUCUACAAGCAAUUGGGACUUGGAGAGUUGAAGCCAACAUCCAUCACUCUAUCUCUGGCAAAUAGAUCAGUGAAGAUUCCAAGAGGGAUGAUCGAAGAUGUCAUGGUUCAAGUUGACAAAUUCUACUAUCCAGUGGAUUUUGUUGUUCUUGAUACAGAUCUGGUUGUCAAAUGAACUAACUAUGUUCCUAUCAUACUUGGAAGACCAUUCCUAGCUACAUCAAAUGCAAUCAUCAAUUUUAGGAAUGGAGUCAUGCAACUCACAUUUGGCAAUAUGACAUUAGAGCUCAACAUCUUCCAUUUGUACAAGAAGCAUAUCCAUCCGGAAGAAGAAGAAGGUCCAGAGAAAGUGUGCAUGAUUGACACUUUAGUGGAGGAGCAUUAUGAUCAAAGAAUGCAAAAAGAUUUGGUUGAGAGUUUUGGGGAUCUUGAUGAAGGGUUACUUGAACCCUCAUAUUUGCUUACUACCCUGUCCCCUUGGAGGAGGAGAGAAGAAAUUCUACCCUUAUUCAAUGAGGAGGAGACACAAAGAGCUGUUAAGGAGGAGCCCCCAAAGCUUAUUCUUAAGCCACUACCCACAGAGUUGAAGUAUGCCUACUUGGAAGAAGACAAGAAGUGCCCUGUUGUUAUAUCUUCAGCUCUUACCAUUCACCAGGAGGAUUGUCUACUUGAAGUCCUUAGAAGAUGUAAGAAGGCAAUAGGGUGGCAAAUUUCUGAUUUGAAAGGGAUCAGCCCUUUAGUCUACACCCAUCAUAUUUACAUGGAGGAUGAAGCUAAGCCAAUUCGUCAACCUCAGAGAAGGUUGAACCCUCACAUGCAAGAGGUGGUGUGAGCUGAUGUUCUUAAGCUACUUCAGGCUGGUAUUAUUUACCCCAUAUCAGAUAGCCCAUGGGUGAGUCCUACUCAAGUUGUGCCAAAAAAGUCUGGGAUCACGGUGGUGCAAAAUGAUAAGGGAGAAGAUGUCUCUACAUGCCUCGCUACAGGUUGGAGGGUGUAUAUCGAUUAUAGGAAGUUCAAUUCGAUGACAAGGAAGGACCAUUUCCCAUUGCCCUUUAUUGAUCAGGUGCUUGAGAGGGUCUUUGGGCAUCCUUUUCAUAAUUUCUUGGAUGGCUACUCCGGGUACUUUCAGAUAGAAAUUGAUGUUGAAGACCAGGAGAAGACCACUUUCACGUGCCCAUUUGGCACCUAUGCAUACAGGAGAAUGCCUUUCAACUUAUGCAAUGCACCCGCAACUUUCCAAAGAUGCAUGUUAAGCAUUUUCAGUGAUAUGGUGGAGCAUAUUAUGGAAGUCUUUAUAGAUGAUAUCACCAUAUAUGGAAGUGCAUUUGAUGAAUGCUUGGUCAACUUAAAAACUGUUCUGAACCGAUGCAUUGAGAAAGACUUAGUGCUUAACUAGGAGAAGUGUCAUUUCAUGGUACACCAAAGGAUUGUCCUUGGGCACAUCAUCUCCAAGCAAGGCAUUGAAGUUGACAAAGCAAAGGUUAAACUCAUUGUUAAGUUGCCAUCCCCAAAAAAUGCCAAAGGAUUAAGGCAAUUCCUUGGCCAUGCCGGGUUCUAUAGGAGGUUUAUCAAUGAUUUCUCUAAGCUUGCAAGACCUCUUUGUGAACUAUUGGUGAAGGAUGCUAAAUUCAUAUACGAUGAUAGAUGCCAAAGGAGUUUUGAAGAAUUGAAGCUAUUUCUAACAACCGUACCAAUAGUGAGGGCUCCCAACUGGCAACUGCCUUUUGAGGUAAUGUGUGAUGUCAGUGACUUUGCUAUAGGAGCUGUUCUUGGGAAAAGAGAAGAUGGAAAACCCUAUGUGGUCUACUAUGCGAGCAAGACAUUGAAUGAGGCGCAAAGAAACUACACAACCACUGAGAAAGAAUUGUUAGCUGUAGUUUUUGCCUUGGAUAAGUUUCGUGCUUACUUGGUGGGGUCCUUCAUUGUGGUUUUCACUUAUCACUCUGCUUUGAAGUAUCUGUUGACUAAGCAAGAUGCUAAAGCAAGGCUGAUUAGAUGGAUUCUCUUGCUUCAAGAGUUCAAUCUCUAGAUCAAAGACAAGAAAUGAGUGGAGAAUAUGGUAGCAUACCACCUUUCAAGGCUAGCUAUCGCACAUAAUUCCCAUGGUUCGCCCAUUAAUGAUGAUUUUCCAGAGAAGUCUCUCAUGUUGGUGCAAGUUGCUCCUUGGUAUCCUAACAAUUCAAAUGAAAUAGUGGAACUACUCAACUUCAACAGCACCAGGAGCUUCAAAAUGAAUGGCCACCGUCUCAAGCCCUUUGUGGAGCCUUUUUCUCACGACAAGGAGGAAUUCAUCCUCCUUGAUCCACAUCAAGCUUGACAAGACCAGUUAUUUUUUAUGGACUUAGUCUUUUUAAAGACUAAUUGAGUCCAUAUCUUUUUGUUUUAUUUCUGAUUUGAGAGUUUUCCUGUAUUAUUACUUGUUUUGAUUUUUAUUUCUCGUUUUAAUUUUAUUUUGGUUUGAUUUAACUUAAGUUUUUUAUGACCAAUUACAAGGGGGACUUCAAAGCGGCUGGGCAAGUCCUUAAAAAUUCUUGGCAGAGGAAACACCAAGGCAAUUCACACACCUUGCGAAAAUUUCGCAGGGCAUGCGAAAUUUAUGGAUCAUUUCUCAUGGGGUGCGAAAAUUUUGCACCCUGCGAACUCAUUUCGCACGUUGUGUGAAAAUCAAAAGGCGUUGUGCAAAAAAGAAAAGUCGCUCUGCCAGCCCUUUUUAAACCCCUGAUCUUUAACUUCUCCAUUUCGCAAACACCAAACACCCUGCGAAUCCCUCAUUUUCCUCUACCACAUUGCGACCUCAUCUCUCUCCAUUUGACAUCUUGCCCGCGCACAUCACUUUGAAGACUUGCACUCCGAGCCCCCUUCGAGCACGGACCCGAGGCCAUAUCUCCAUUUCCGACAUGGCACCGACUCGAGGAGCCCUUCCCGCCCCUUCACCGCGUUGCACUACGAGGUAGAGAGCCUCCACUACUCAGGUGCCUAGUGAUUCUCCAUCUUAGGUCGCUGAGGCCCCAUAGAUUCCACUUUCUGAGGGUGGAGCGCCUACUAGUCCUUCCUCACCUGCUUCUCAGCGCAGAUACGAGACGAGGAGACCACCUACUACACCAGGGGCGACUACUUCGCGCCCUGAGAGUUCAAUGCAACGCCCUCCUGCCAAGAGGGCUAGAACUUCAGGCCUAGGCGAGUCAUCCAAAGCUUCAUAGCCUAAGCCUCUUGCGGAUUCUGAGCUUCCUUCCGACAUGUCACCGAGGUCUAUUAUCAGACACCCGAUGCUCACAGCACUACCCAUUGAUGGAAACUCAGAUUACAGAGUGAGACCUUUCCACUCAGAGCUAUAUUUUGAUCAGGAGGCCAUGCGACAGUAGCCUAAGCUCCGAGACUCUUAUGGCCUACUGCAGAGGCACCAUCUUGAGCACCUUAUGACUCCUCGUGAGUUCUUUUAUCCUAGAGUAGCACUAGAAUUUUACCAGUUCAUGACUACUCAUGGCGUCCCAAGUCCUACUACGAUUCAUUUCACCAUUGAUGGACGUCAUGGUAUCCUCGAGGCCAGAGGUAUCGUAGAGGCUCUACAGAUUCCUUUCGAACCAGUGGAUCCAUUUGUUUUUUGCCAGUGGUCCCCAGUAUCUCAGAGGGACAUGGUCCACAUUUUAUCCAAAAGGACCUCCAUUGAUUCGAUCCUUCUACGGAAGGAGCUUCUACUUGGGAUGCUCCUCGUAGAUGUGGUGCUAUGUUCCAACCUCUUUCCCCUACAGCAUUCGGUACAGAGGCGAUGAGCUAUCUUGGACGCUUUAUUUCGUAUAUCAAAGGGCUUCUACUUUGGCCCACACCACUUGAUCAUGGCCUCCCUUGUCCACUUUGAGGAGAAGGUCCAUAGGAAUAAGCUUCAGAGGUCGAACACCAUUCCAUUACUAUUCCCGAGGUUGCUUUACCAGAUCUUGGAGUAUAUGGGUUUUCCUACUGAGCCUCGGCUCGAGCGCCGCCGCCUUUGUCGAGAGCAAUUCCCUCUUGACAAAUGGAAUUAGUUGGCGGGUUAUUCUACACCUCCAGGAGCCCCUCAUAUGGUAGCACCUCUAGUGCCCCCAUAGACAGAGCAGGGUGAGUUUCUGACAAAGACUAUACCACCUACCCCUGCAUCACCUACUUUAGCACCACCAGUGCCCAUGCCCGAGGCUACUUCUACUACUCUCCAUGUGACUCCUAUUGUUCCACCAGUUGGUCCUACUACAUCCGAGCCUUCCAUCACCAUCUCGGCUUCGGAGUUUCAUGCCCUUGUGCAUACCUUUCAAACACUGACCACCACACAUGCUACUCUCUUCCAGCAUAUGGCUGAGAUGCAUCCCCAUCAGGACCAACAGACUGCUAUACUCCGCCAGAUUCAGCAGCACCUGGGACUUCUGCCUCCACCUCAGCCUCACCUUCCUGCAUCAUUAGAGCCUUUAGCUCCAGCUGAGGAUACUAUUCCAGCUGAGGACACUACCACAGUAGAGGUCCAAAUCCCGCCAUCUUAAGAGGCCACCACAGAUGCCAUUGCUUCAUAUGAUCCUCACGAUAAGCCUCAGACAAUUGACACAGUCACAACUACACCUGAGAAUGCAUCAUCUCCACUUGAGGGUGCCACUACUUGAUCAUAGGACAUCUCUUUAUCUUAUUGUAUUUACAUAUUAUAUUAGUGGAGAUUUGUCCUUGUUUUGAUGCUUUAUACUCUGGGAUUGGAUGUAUUACCUGAUCAUAUCUCAUAUUGUACUUUCUUAGAUUAAUAUAUAGACAUACUUUUUUUUUAUUAUACUUAGCAUUUUUCUAUUUCCUCUACUCAUUACUCUUUUGUUUUUUUUUACUCAUGUGGUUUCUCCCAUAUGACUCAGACUCCAUUUCACUCAAGAGGUACCACUUCCUCCCUUUAUUUUCAAUUGCUCUUGACACAUUAAGGGCAAUGUUGAUCUUGAUUGGGAGAAGAGUUGAGGAAGGAAGUUUUGUUAAUAAUGCUAGGUUAAUUUUUUAAUUUAGUUACUUUUUGCUUAAUUUUAAAAGUUCUUUACCCUACUCUCCAUGGUUAUUAAGGCAAAAUUCUCAAAAUGAAAUGGGAGAAAUUGAGUUCUUGCAUUUUUACUUGAAUCUUAGAGUUUGUAUUAUGCUUAUUGAAGUUGAUGAAUUAUUGAAACUCCUAUUGAAUUCAACCUUAUUUCUUCCACUUUAAUCUUACCACACACUGUGCACAUUAGGUUCCAGUUAUAAGAUGAAAAACUAUCUCACCCCCUGAACUUAGGAAAAUUUUGACUUGGUACAUUUAACCUCGUUUUAAUAGUGUUAGGACACCUUAUAAAAAGCUAAUGAGCCUUCGAAAAAAAAAAGAACAAAGUGUUUCACUUACCUUGAAACCCGAGCAAGGUUCGAGGGUAUACGACAAAAGUCUUUAAAACCCGGUGCCCUAAGCCUUUAUUGGUUGGGAGUCACCGACCUCAAUGCUCGUUACAAAGGGUAAUAGGUGGAGUUUAACAUAUUGUAGGUGCUUGGGUAUUGAAUUUCAAUCUCAAAAGUCCGGGAAAAUUUUGAGGAGUUAGUGGUCGAAAGAGCCUUAAAGCUUGAUGCCCUAAACCUUGAUUGGUUGGGAGUCAUCGAUGGAUCCCCGUUACAUGGACACUUUAGAAAACAAUACCUUUAUCAUUGCACUCCUACAAUGAAAAAAUUAUGAAAUAAAAGAGGUGCGUUCUUAGUCUAUUGGAGGUUGGUCAGUUUGAGAAAGAACUAGGUUGGGGGGAGAGAAUAGUCCGACAUACUAUAAUCAGAAACUAAUAAGCUUAACACUUAGAUUUUUGUGGAAAAAUAAGGAUUGGACCCUUGGGAGUGGAAAUUCUUUUGAUGCUUAAAUUUGCAUAAUGCCUACUCUUUAUAAAUUGUGAUUAAGCAAGAUAUUUGAUGACUCUUGUUGAAGGCUGGGUUUUGCCUCUUCGAUGUUCCAUGAGAGAGUAUGAUCCACAUCAUGGCACUUGAAAAUUUUUUGGAGUGAUUAGCAUGAUUUUGUAAAUUAUUUAAAUGUCUAAUUUUCUUUAUCUCUCCUUCAUUGCUAAGGGACUAGCAAUGUGUCGGUUGGGGGGAGUGAUUACUACUCAAAAAGUACUCUUUUAUAACUUGAAACUAACUAUUUUAAACACUUUUGAGUAGUAGUUAAUACAUUUGAACUCAAUUAGCACAUUAAGGAACCUAGCAAGGGUUACUAAUCAGUUUUUGGCAAAUUUUGGUGUUUUUGGUAGCUUAAAUCCAUGGCAAUGCAAGUUGAAGUUCAAAUACAUGACGAAUCCGAGCUUUGGAGCACUUCAUAGCCCUUUUCCAAGGUUGGAAAUAGGUUGCCAAGCCAAUCAGAGAUGCAAGGAAGAAAACCAGAGGAAGAAAUCCAACAACCAGUAUUUUCGCAUGGUUGUGCGAAAUUUCGCACACCAUGCAAAACCACAAGAGGCAGCCAAAUAAUUUCGCACACCAUGUAAAAUUUCGCAUGGUAUGUGAAAUCUUCCUAUGCAUCGACUCCGUUAGAUUUUUAUCUCCUAAUAUUUUGUGUAAUUUCCUAUUUUCUCCUUGUAGUCAACCUAGAUAUUUUCUUUUAUAUUUUUUUUAUAUCUUUUGGUAUAGAGAGAGACACACACACAGAUGGAUGAAAUUCAUUAAACACUUGUAAAUUCCCGUAGUAAGAAAUAUACAGAGCUUUUGCUCUGCCUUUCCUUCUCAUUUUGUUUUCACUUUUCUUUCUAGCCAAACAACCUCUGAGGAUGAUUUCUCAGGGGAUGAGUGGCUAGGUUUUACGUUUCUUGGAGUGAUGGAAGCUACAUGAAGGACCCGUAUGCAAAGGUGGGAGUUGUCCUUGCUUUAAAUGAAAGUAGUUGUUAACCAUUAAUGGUUUUUAUUUUAAGGUUUAGCUUUAAAUCCCUUAAAAGCACCUUGAAUGGCCAAUACUUGGUAAGCUUUUCGGAUUCUAUGGAUGCUUAUUGCUAGAUCCAUGGAUGUCUAUUAGUUAUCAUUUACGAGCCAUUGGAAGGUGGUUCAAGGUGAGGGCCUGAUUACUACUCAAAAAGUGCUAUUUGAUAGCUUGUAAUUAACUCUUUUAAACACUUUUGGGUAGUAGUUAUCACCUUUUAACCCAAUUAACAUAUUAAGGACCCUUGCAAUCAAUUCUAAUCAAAUUGUGUUAAGUUUUGGUGUUUUGAUAGCUUUUUGAUCACCAAAGCAAUCAGAGAUUGAGGAGAGUUCUUUGGAAUCUAUGGCAAAGAUGUCUGGAUAGGGCGUCCGGACACACCAUUGGAGAGCGGCGGAACGUGGGCUGCAGCAAGGCUUGCUUACUGUAGUCAAUGAUCCAGACAACAUAUCCGGAUAGGAUAUGCUAUCAUUUGGAGUGUGAUGUUCACGAGUGCCGGAUAGCAUGGCGGCGUGUAUCCUCUGGGGGGAAUCCGGAUGGGUCCCUACACCUUACACAUGCAGACGGUCCCCUUGCGACGUCCGGAUAUCUCAUCCGAAAUUAUGUCCUGUCAAACAUGUCCAGAUCCUUUGAUCGGAUAUUUCACAUCCGGAUCCCCUGACGUCGGAUGAGAGAGGAGGCGUUUCAACUUCCCCGGACAGGCAUGUUCGGAUGUUCGGAUCUUCUGAUAGCGCUCAUUCGGAGAGCAUCCGCGACCGACAUUUCAGAUUACCCGGAUUUUGCAUAGUGUCGCGGUGUUCUCCUGAAGCUUCACGAUAUUUCCGACCGACAUCUUGAGAUAUUUUGCUUUAGAUAUUUGUUGUCUAAAUCCCUAAAGUCUCCUUGUAAUCCACCUAUCAUAGGAUUCCUUAGUCCUUAAGUAAGAACAAAGGGGUGAAUAACCUCUUAUAUAUAGUUUGUAAUUUCCUUUACAAAAGGGAGGAUACAUAUGAUGUAAUCCGAUAUAUGGAAUCGACGAACAGAGCACUUGCUCUGUUUCUUCUUCAUAUUUUUGUUUUCUCAUUAGUUUUCUUUCUAGUCAAUCAAACUCUGAGGAUUUUUCCUCAGAGGAUGAGAGGCUAGGCUCUUCGUCUCUUGGAGUGAAGAAAGCCGGGUAAGUUUCCUCAUGCAUAAAUUGGAAGUUUUGUUGUUUUAGUUUUUAAUGAAGAUAAAGUGUGACCCAUUAAUGGUUUUUAUCUUUUUAGUUAACUUAAAACGCCUUUAAAUCACCUGGGCCAACACUUGGUAAGGUAAGUGAUCUCCAUCCAUUGAGAUGCACUUGUUUAUCUCUUGCGAGCCUUUGGGAGGUGGUUUAGAGGCAGGAUUUUCUAGAAUAGCCAACACUUGGUAAGCUUUUGGACUCUACAGAGACAUCCAUUAGUUAUCUCUUGCGAGCUUUUGACAGGUAAUCCAAGGUUAAAGAUCACCUUGAAUGGCAAAUGCUAGGUGAGAGGCACGAGCCAUUGCAAGAUGCAUCAGUGAGAGGGAUUUAGUGUUUGAACCCAUUAAGGGGAAGCAUCUGUACCACACCGGUUAGAGAAUUAACUAUAUGUUAAUUCUCUAAUACGAGGAAAAGAAACAAGUGACCGGAACUCUCCUUUUUGUAUGAGGAACCUGAACCUAGUGAUCUAAACUCCAAGAAACACUUUUCAUUGUAAGUAAAAUCAGUUACUAUUUUUGGUUAGUUUAAAACCAAACCUUUUUCAUUUAAACAUCUUUAUGUUUUCUUUUAAGCUAACCUUGAAAUGAAAAGGCACCCAUUCAACUUUGAAUUAAUAUCAAUUGUAGAGUGAAAACCCAUCCCAGUGAACGACCCUAGAGCCACUAUGCUAUGCUAGCUAAGGCUAUCCUAGUACAUGGUGUAAUAGGUUAUAAAUUUUGUUGAUUACUCCAUGAGGACCACAAUCAAGGGACACCAGCUGGACACGAAUCAAAUGGCACCACUGUCAGGAACCAUUGAGAGGACAUGAAUCAGCUGAGACACCAAUUGGGAACGAAUCAGGGUAUUUAGUGUUUGAAGUCAUUAAUGGGAAGCAACUAUCAUUUUUCAUGAACCCUUUGGAUCAAAUCUUAAUCGCUAAAUAUAAAACAGAUUCGGGAGAUAACCAUCCUUUAUGUUAUCUUCCCCAACGGGAGGAGAAGAUCUGGAAUCUCCCCCUUUGCCUAAGGAACCCGAUCCUAGUGACCUAAAGCUCCAAGAGACCUUUUCUUUGUAGUUAACUUCACUUAUUAUUUUUGCUUAACUUAAAAUAAAUCUUUGCAACCACAAUUCCAUUUUCUUUAAAAGCUAAUUUUCAUAAGGAGAAACACCAUUUUAUUUCUUUCACUAAAGUCAAUUGUACAAUGAAAACCCAUCCCUAUGGAUGAUCCUAGAGCCACUAUACUAUGUUAGCUAUGCUACCCUAGUGUAAGGUGAUUUAGGUUUUAUAAAUUUUGUUGAUAACACCCGUCUGAGCCAUAAUCAAAUGGCAUGACUGCAAUGGGGACGAAUCAAGUAUGUUGAAGACCAAAGCACAAUUGGGUUGCAUGUAAAGAAAAAAUGGACUAUGUUAAGGGACUAAACAUUAAAGUUGUGAAUUUUUUUUUGAUAUUUUAAUAUAUUUUAGCUUUUUUUGUGUUUCUUAUUUAUGAAAUACAAGUUCACUAUUUGUGAUUAAAUACUGUAAUUUGGAAAUGUAUUACCAGGUGAAAAAUUAGGUGCAACCACUAAUUUCAUUGGUACAUAAUUUUUUUUCUUAUGUGUAUGCAUUAUUUCAAUAGCAGGUGAAAAAUUAGGCGCAACAAUUAUUAAAUUAAAACUAAAUUUAAAAUUAAACAAUUAUCUUCCUUGAUGCUUUUACUAAGUGUCAAGGAAUGAGAGUAACCACCAGUAACAUUUAUACAACCCAAUAAUGGCACUAAUAAAUGUGUCAAGAUAGUGUGAACAACUAACAAUGACACUUUUUUAAGUGUCAAGGUUCUCUUCAAUGGCGCUUUCUAGAAGUGUCCUUAUAGUUCGAUAUUUGAAACUACUAAACAAUGACACUUAUAGAAAGUGUCAAGGUUUCUUCUACUCAACAAUGGUGUUUAUAAAAGUGUCAAUGUAGUUUGAUAUAACUAAUGAUGACACUUUUUUUAAGCGUCAAGGUUCUCUUCAAUGGCGCUUUCUAGAAAGCGCCAUUGUAGGCAAAUACUUAUUAUGACAAGCUAGUAGAUGAUGCUUUGGGGAAAUGCCAUUGAAUGUAUUUCUUGACACUUAAAAAGCGUCAUGGUUAACAUUUUUUCUUAUAGUAGUGUGGGCAAAACGUUCAUUCAACAUAUAUCACAUGAAUAUUCAAAUAAACUAAAAAGCAAAAAUUGAAUUGGAAAUUAAAUGGUAAUGGGCAUUUUAUAAACAUUCUAUGUUGAGAAGAUGUCCUUCCAAUGUGAAUAUGAGAAGGAAGUGUAAAUCUCCUUUCAUAUUUGAAUGAGACACAAAAGAGUUAGCUGAUUCAAGCAAAACAAACUCAACUUGGAAAAUUAAUGUAAUGGAUGAUUCCAAAUAAGAGAAAGUUGACUUCAAAAUUAAUGUGAGAAUUAGGUAGCAUUUAGUGUAGGAACAUGUUGCAUUAUUUCAUUGUUUUAGAUAUUUAAGUUUUUGUAGCUUGGAUGGACUGGUCCAUUGGGUAUAUGAAGUUUAAUUUGCAAUGCACAUAAUUUGAAAGAAUCUUGUCAAGUCUAUCAAAAUUAAUUGACAAAUAUGCUAUCCAUUUGGAUGAAGUAGAACUUCAAAAGCACAUAAGCACAUACCUCCAAGUGAUGGUGCCAUGAUAUAGUCCUUAAUGUUUCUUGGUGAAGGUGUUUUGUAAAAGAAUGCAAAGAAGAAAAAUUCAAAAUUAGUUCUAAACAUUUUAAUACCAUAGAAAUUAGUUAAGACUGAGUAUCAAUAUUGUAAUGGUAAGCUAUGCAUCAAAAGGUCUAUAAAAGGAGUCAAGAAAAUAACACAUUUGACCAACUAGAGCCUCUCAGAGUUUAGAUGCCUUAUCUUAUUACAAAUUGAAGAACUUGCAAACAGUCCUCCAAAGGACAUUGAGGAUAAGUAAGGCGGUGUUUUUUUUUUUUUUUUCUUAAUUGUAAAUAUAAUUUAAAACUAAAUAGUGCUUAAUAGUGUGUUAAGUAUUGGGUUGUUUGUUUUUACCAUAUUUUAUUUCUAUUAAGCAUUAAAAAAUAAAAAACAACCAACAUGUUACUUUUUCUAUUUAGAAAAAGCUAAAUAUAUUUUUUUUUCAAAAAAAAAUUUAUAAUAAGUCAUAAAAAAGUAGAAAAACAUACAACUAAAAGUUUAAAAGCAAAUUGCUUUAAGCAAAAAGGUAAAAAAACAAACACCUUCUAAGUCAUUUAUCUGCAUUAAGAUUUUAAUUAGUUUUAGGGAUGAUCAAUCAUACCCAUACUUAUAUCCCUCACACUUUUUCACUGAACUGAAUGCACUUGUAGCAUUAAGAAAUGUUUUCCCAAAGGCCUUAAUACUCUUUAAUUUGAUGUCAAUGGGUGAUUAUGGGAUUCUUUAUUUUAUGAUAUCUGAGCCCCUUCCUCAUAGGAUAAACACACUCUCAUCUAUAGAUCAAAUCUCCCAAACCAACCAACACAAAUGUGAUCCUAGGUAAGAGGUUCAGUCUACUAGACUAAACUCAUUUCCUUCAAGUUCAUUAUUGGUCACCACAAGUUCACCAAACUAGUGAAAGAAACCAACUUUACCGAAAUAGAAAACACUAUUUUUGAAAACAAAUAACUACUCGAGUUAAUUUCAUUCAUCUCCCCUCUGGUUUUCACUAAAUACAUUUGAUCCCAUUGAUUUGAAAUUACAUUAAAUACCUUUCAUUUUCUUUUUAUUUGUUAUUUUCAUUCACUUAAUCUUCUCCUACUCAAAAUAAGGAAGGUAUUUUAUGAGAUCUCAAAUUAAUAAGGGCUAAGUGUAUUAGUUAAAACUUUAGGGGAGGUGAAUGAAAUUAAUACUAACUUCCCAAUCUUAAGUAAGAUAAAUAAAAAAUAAAAAAAAAUUAAAAGCCUAGUAAAAACCAAUCAACAAAAAAUUGUAAAAAAAAUAAAAAAAUAAAAGAAAAAACUAAAUCUUGUACAAUGUUAAGAAAUCAAAGCUGAAAAUAUUAGGCAUAAUCUAAUGAGAAAAAUUAUCAAAGAAAACAAUCACGCAAUGAGAUAAAUGAAUGAAAUCAUUAGACCUUACAAUUUCAUUAAACAAUAUAUUAUAACCACCAUUCAAUACAAUUAUAAGAACAAAGACUAAAACCCAAAAAAAAACUAGAGAAAAAAAAAAAAAACAGUUUAAGCGUAUUCUGACUAUUAGUGACAUAGAUAAGGUCAGAGAGAGAGAGAGAGUGUGUGUGUGGUACAAGCACGGGAGAUCUAAUUAGCAACCAUAAAUAUUAGUUGUGAACCAAAUAUGAUAUUGGAGUUUAGAGUGAGGGAUUUGUUCGAGGCUAUGGGGAAAACUAAGAUAUGGGUAAAAGUUUUUAUAUGCUAGAUACAAAAGAAACUUGUAGAAACACGAAGAUAAAGAAUGGAAGAAAAUCUGUUUCAAACCAAUUUUUACAUACAAUAUUUAUAUGGUGUAUCAGUUACAUGAGAAUAACUACUUAUCUAGCUAACCCUAUCAACUUAACCUACUGACUUGAGCGAUGUUGCUAACUACCCUAGCUGACUCUAACAAUAUUUCGUUGUUACAACCUUCGGGCAGGUAUCCUAACAGUAAAGGAGUUAUAGAGCCAGGUGAAUUCUUGAUCUUGAACUCCAUCAUCCCCCCACAAGCUCAUGGGUCGGGGAAUAACCGAUAGACGAGUUCUAAAGGAGGUGAACUGUGAGCUUGGAAGAUGUUUGGUGAAGAUAUCAGCAACCUGUUGUACUGAUGGUGUAUACUGAAUGGUGAUGGCUCAGAUAAAAUGGAGAUUGUUUUCGAUGUGUUUACUCCUUGCAUGAAACACCAGAUUUGCAGCUAGUCGAGUAGUAAUUUGGUUGUAAGCUUGAAUAUCAAGAGAUGUUGAGGGAUGAAAUAUAAGGUCAAGUGAGGGAGUUCUUUUAAGAUACCGCAAUACUCGUUUAAGAGCCAUCCAAUGUACAGUGGUGGGGUGAGCCAUAAACUGACAAGCUUUAUUUAUGGUGGAUAAGAUGUCUGGUCUGGUGAUUGUUACCUAUUGAAGGGCCCCCACGAUACUGUGGUAUAGAGAAGCAUCUGAGAAUGUAUCACUUGCUAACUGAGAAAGGUUGGUGCCAACAGCUCCAGGUGUGGAAAUGGAUUUUGAGUCUUGUAUGGCUGAUCUUGUGAGUAGGUCUUGGAUGUAUUUUUGCUGAUUGAGGUGCACAACACCAUUAACAUGGGAGACCUCAAUACCUAAAAAAUAAUUGAUGCAACCUAGGUCGCGGAGAGCAAAUGUGUCUUGAAGAUAUUUUAGGAAGGCCAACACCUGAGAAAGGUCAUUACCUGUGACCAGUAUAACAUCUACAUAGACUUGUAGGAGUAUGGUGAUGUUUGAAGAGUGAAAAAAAAACGAGUUAUUUGCUCGGGAACAGGAGCAGCCCCCACUUGAGUAAGGCUAUUUUGAGCUUAAGAAACCAAGCACGGGGGGCUCGUUUUAGGCCAUAGAUGGUUUUGUUUAAGCAGCACAUAUGAGUGGGGUGUUUGGGGUCUUCAAAACUAGGAGGAUGUUGCAAGAAAACUCGUUCUCUAAGAUCACUGUUGAGGAAGGAAUUUUGGACAUCUAAUUGGCGAAUUGUCCACCUGAAAGAUAAUGCAACUGUAAGAACAAUACGAAUAGUGGCAACCUUGACCAUUGGUCUAAAUGUAUCAAAGUAAUCUAAACCUUGUGUCUGAUGAAACCCUUCAGCAACAAGCUGAGCCUUGUACCGAUCAAUAGAGUCGUCUAGCUUGCGUUUGAGUUUAAACACCCACUUGCACCUAAUAAUAGGCCUAUUGGUUGGUGCAGGAGUAAGUUUCCCAGUGUUGUUAUGAAUGUGAGCUUGAUAUUCAAUUGCCAUGGCUUUCCUCCAAUUAGGAUCUUUGAAAGCUUCUCAGUGGGUGGGAGAUUCAAUAGUUUUGGGUGCUAAAAAAAGUAUAGGUUUGAGAUGACCAGUCUUGGAUUUGGUAAGCAUGUGAUGGUUGUUUCAUGGGUGGUUGGAGGUAGCUGGUUGAGAUGAAUGUGGCAGAGACUUAGCCAUAAAUGGGACUUAAAUAACUGGUGGAACGAGUUGAUGAGAUGCACUAGAAUUUGUUGGUGAUGAAGGCCUCUUCCCAGGAUGGAAAGUGUUUGAAGUUGUUGAAUUAUGGGUAUUGGAUGUGAAGCCAAGAAUAGCUGGAGUGACAGCCUGUGGAGAGAUUGUAGGAAUUGGUAAAGGGUGAGGAAUGUGAUAUGGAAAAACAGUCUCAUCAAACACUAUGCCGGGAAAUAUAGAUGCAACUGGUUGUGAGGUCCAUGAAAAUGUAUCAUUUCUUAAAAGAGAUAUAUCUGAGAAAGAGACAUUGUAUGGAUCUGUAUUGGAGUUUCUGGUUGUUGUAAGGUCUGAUAUAUGGAAAACAGAGGCACCCAAAAACUUUUGAGAAAGUAUAAUCUGGAGGACAACCAAAUAAGGUUUGAAAUGAAGAGUGCAAGUUUAGAACUUUUGUGGGUAAUCAAUUAAUGAGGAAUGUGGCUAUUUGAAAUGCAUAUAACCAAAAUUUGGAGGGUUGGUUUGCAUUAGCCAAGAGAGUCAAACAUGUUUCAAUAAUGUGUCAUAUAUUUUGUUCCAAUCUCCCAUUUUGUUCUGGUGUAUGAGGGCAUGAGCAUCGCUUUACAAUUCCUUAGUGAGAAAUGAAGCAAAAGCUUUAAAUUCACCCCCCCAUUAUCUUAUUGCAGGCAUUUAAUCUUGGCAUUAAAUUGUUUCUCCACUAGAGUUUGAAACUUAAUAAAUGUAGAUAAUGCUUGAUCCUUGGCAUGUAGGGGAUAAAUCCAUGAGAAUCUGGACCAAUCAUCAACAAGUAACAAGAAAUAACAAGCACCUGUAGUUGCUUGAACUGGAGUUGGGCCCUAAAGAUUGGUAUGUAUGAGAUCCAAAACUUUAGUUGUCUUUGAUUGAGAAAGAGAAAAUGGUAAUUUGUGACUUUUCCCAUACUGACGUGUUGUACAGAUAGUUGAAUUAUUUUUCUGAAGAGAAACAUUACAAGAGGCUAAUGCAUGUUGAAGAAUAUCUGCAGAGGGGUGACCUAACCAAGCAUGCCAGAGAGUGGAUGGUGUUGUUCUCGUUGUGACUGUAGAGGUAACAAAAGCAGUUGGUGUUUAUCUUGGCACAAGCUGUCUUGGAAACUAGCAAAGACCUUGUUCAAGCUUGCCUUGUAGGAGUGUGUUCUUCGUUUGCUAAUCCUUGAUUACAAAAUGACGAUGAUGAAAUUCAACAAAUGAAUUAUUGUCAUGGCAUAGUUUAGAAACACUAAUGAGAUUUGUGGCAAGCUUCAGAGCAUGAAGAACCUUGUUUAGCUUGAAUUUCUUGUAUUUGGUAGAUAAAAGAGUGCAACCAAUGUGAUGUAUAGGAAGUUUCUUACCAUUUCCAAUAGAGACUUGAUAAGGUUCGUGAUAAGGAUGCACGACAGAUAGAUGAGUAACAUUGUUGGUCAGAUGAUGAGUUGCCCGUGUCAAGAAACCAAGAAUCCGAUGAUGCUGGAGAGGCUACCAUGGCUUGAACUUGGUUACUGUUGUCAUUAGGAAAUGUGUUAUUGUUGGGAGUUGUAUGUGGAAGAUGACUCCCUUGAAAAUUGAUAUCAAAUCGGUGAUAGCAUGAAGGAGCAAUGUGUUCGUAUUUGCCACAUAAUUGGCAUUGUGGUCUAUUGCCUUGAUGCUACUUAAAGCCUAGAUUUCGGUUGCCUAAGGAUCCUCUACUUUGAGGUUGUGCUGAGUUUGGUCUAGAAUUUUGAUAGUUGUUGCGAUUGCUAGAGAUCCUUCUGAUAUUGCCUCUCGUUUGUUGCAUUUGAGAGACAACAACAUGACCAGAUAUGGAGUCUUCUUUUGGGAUUGUGUUUUGAAAUUUCAGACAUUGUUCAUGUGUGAGAAGUAUGCUGUGAAUAGAGUGGAUGGAUAUGUCAUCUUCUCGAGCAGUGAUGGAAGCAACAAUAGGAUUGUAAUCAGCACCAAGUCCUCCCAGUAUCUGUAACACCUGGUCUUUUUUUAAGACUGGUUCUCCAAUAGCUACGAGAUUAUCAGCUAUAGUUUUCACUUUGAGAAGAUACUCCAUCAUGGACAUUGUGCCUUUGCGAGUUGUUUGAAACUCCAAUCGAAGUUGCAUUGCUCUUGCUUUGGAGGAGGUUGAAAAUAUCUUCACCAGAGACGUCCAAGCUUCAUGAGAGGUUUGGUAUCCAACUAUUUGCCCCAUGAUUUCAGGGGUAAGAGAAGAAUAUAACCGGCUAAGAAUCAUACGGUCAUAACUUCUCCAUGAAACGAAUUAUGGGUUUAUUGUGCCUGUAGCUGUCAUCUUGGUAGGGUGCAUAUUCAGUCCUUCACUAUGAUCUUCAAAGCCAUUGGCGAAGAUGACAUUCUCCAUUUAGGUUUGCCAUAAGAUGUAAUUGCUUUUGUCUAGUUUAACAGGGAGGGUAUGAUUUAGCAUUUGAAGAGAAUAGCUCGAUCCUGGGAGUGAAGUAAUCUGUGUGGGAGUUUGUGAUUCAGAGGAUGGAUUAAAGAAAGACAUGGUUAAAUUUGGGAAAUCUUUUCUACAAGAUUAUUGAUGGAAGGAUAAUUUUUUGUGGUUGAUGAAGGAUCGUUUUUAGCAGUUGAGAGGAAGAAGAAGGGCUAAGGUAGGGUUAUGGCUUUGAUAGCAAGAAGAAACUUGCAGAAACAUGAAAACGAAGAAUGGAAGAAAAUUUGUUUCAAACCAAUUUUUACAUAUAGUAUUUAUGUAGUGUAUCAGUUACAUGAGAAUAACUGCUUAUCUAGCUAACCCUAACAACUUAACCUACUAACAAUAUUUGGUUGUUACAACCUUCAGGUAGGUACAAGUGUGAAUUUUGGAGUUUUUAAAGAUAACUAUUUAAUCUCAUAUGUAAUUUUUUUUGAGAUUUGAAGAAGUGAUAUAAAAUUGAAAUAGCCCUAGAUGUGAUUUUGAUAAAAAGGGCACAUACUGACUUACCCCAACAACAAUUUUCCCAAUAAGUCACUUUUUUAGUGGGUGUUGGUAAAUUAAUUUAAUGACUUAAUAGCUUAAUUUAAGUCAUUCAGUAGAUUAAAUAUAUUUAGUAAAAUAACUUAAUAUUGCAAUUUAAAGUUAUUUUUAAUUUUAACUAUUAAUUUAAAAUAGUUAACUUGUUCUUAAUAUCAAACAUUUUUUACCUUACUUACACACAUUAGUUAUAAUAUAUUUUAAAAUUAUGAUUCCACAAAUAUGACUCAUUUCAUAUAUAAUAAAUACAUUAUGGUUAUCUUAUACAUCUAUAAUUUUUUAAAUAUAAAUGUUUGACAAAUAAAUUUAUUGCUUAAAAUUAAUGGAAAUAAAUGAGUUAAAAUAAGUGAGGAUAAAUAUUAGUUAAAAUUAAUAAGAAUAAUUCUAUCAAUUUAAUGAUUUAAAAUAAAUUUUAAGAUAACUUUAGCAAACAAUCUUAACAUUUAAUAUAAAAUAAAAAAGUAAUAAGUUUUAAAUUAAGGACUUAAAAUGAAUUUAACUUAAAUUGAACUUAAAGCAUUAAGUAAUAAAUAUUAAGUUUUACUAGAUAUCCAUUUAGAGUGAUUUAGGGUGGAUUGGACAAGGUCACACAUAAAACCCUUAUUGCCAUUCUUACCUGCAUUCCAUACUCAACCAAAAUCCCAAAAUGACUUUCAUUAUACGCAAUAACUCUAAAACCUUCUACAAUACUUCACUCAAUCAUUUUCAUAUAUAAUGUAUAAUUUGUUUUUGAGAUAUUUUGGAGCUUCUCAGCUUUCUAAAAUUUGCCAAAAAAAUAUGAAAAAAUCUUAACCCUCCUACUCGAUAUAUCCAACUAGAACUUAAAGCUUAAUCAAUCAGUUUGUUGAUUUGAUCAAUCAAGAUAGGAAUUUCAUCCUAAAUCAAUUAAAUUACCAUGUUUCUUAAUUCUUCAUCCAAAAGAAUAACUUACACUUUUGAAAUCCCAAAUCAAACAUAUAUAUAAAAGAAAAAAACUUCACGACAUCCAAAACCAAGUAAUAAUUAAAUAACCAUCUAGGAUUAACAUAAGAAAUAAAAUAUGGAUGGAACAUCCUCCAAGAUCUUAUUAUCUCUUGGGCAACAAGCAGUAGAAAAAAGGAUUUGAAAUGGGACAAUAGCACAAACCUUCUAAUCCUUGGAAUUCUUGGAGAGAUGUGGUGUAUUCCUUUCCAAUUAAUUAAUUAUCAUUAAUUAGUUUAACCCAAUUAUUAAAUAUCAAAGAAUGUCUCACAAUAGAUUUACUAGGCUCCCAAAAUUUAUGCUCAAUAUAACUCGUGAUCUACAAAUUAUAUUUACAAAAUCAAUAAAUCAUUCUUCUUUUUUAAUGACCCUAACCAUCCAUUAAUAAAGUCGUUGGAUGAUGAAAAUGAACCAUGUUUUCUUCCUGCAAUUUAGCCACAUAAACAUUUAGGAUUAAUACAAGUGGCAUGCAUAUAGAAAUAUCAUUAGUACAGUACUAAUUAGCUACAGGUAGAGGACACCAGCAGUUGCUUAUAAUGCCAAGGUAUUAAAUUUUGGCUGAAAUAACGCAAAUGUCAUCAAGUCAACCCAACUGGAAACUAUUUUGUAGAAUAGAUGAAGAGACACCUAACAGACAUAACUAAAAGACAUUUGGAAGAUGCUUUAAGUAAAAAAAAAAAAAAGGAAAAGUCACCUAUGCCUUGAACUGGUCGACAUAAGAAAGGGAUUGCUUAGUUUAUGAGACUGAUCUUCCAUGGCAUAGGCUCAUGAGACUGUCGCAUAAUUUUGCCAAGCAAUUGCGGUGAUCCUCAUUGUUUGGUAGGAUGAUUUCUAUUUUAAAGAGAUAGUUGUACAGUGAUCCUAUUUUGAUAAUUGACUUGUGUUCUAGGAAGUUAACUUUAAAGGGGGUCAUGUAUGUGGGAUUGAUAAGAAGGUGAAAUUGUGAUGAGAUUAGGCGACAUGUAUGUAAUGAUAUUUCAUGUAGAAUGUUCUUCGUUCUAUGAUGUAUAAGUAAUCCUUGCUCUUUAAUUCAAAUAGAUUUUAUUCGGUUCAAUGCCAUACUUUGAAUAUGUGUGUUGCUGCUUGACCUCGGUACAGGCUGGGGGCUGGGUGCUGGACGACUGUACACGCUCACAAUUCAACGAGCGUUGAUGUUGAGAGCUUGACGACAAGCCAUGGCGAGGAGGGCUGAUGCUUGUUUCAAGAAGGGCAUCUGCUAUUGGUUGGAAGGAAAGAUGGUACAUCCGACGUAGCUGCUUGCUGGUAUUGCUAUAUUUCUGCCUGAGAAUCAGGGAUAACUACGAAUCGUGGAAGAAAUUAAGUUUGAUCAUCCUUUUAAACUCCCUCUGAAGAGGACUUUCAUUAGUCAAAAUUGCCCAACCUCUUCACCACUAACUCAUAUUCAUACUUACCUAAUUAAUAUCUAUUAGGAAGUCAACCAUUUAAUUAAUUCCACUGUUUGAAUUUUUUAAAUUAUAUAUAUAUAAAAUUUUGUUGGUAAAAUUUGACUUUUUAAUAGUAGGGCAUAAAAUAACAACUUUGAAGUUCUUGGAACUUUCAUGUUAAAAUUAUUUAAUUUGGUAGUUGAAUUUAUGUAUCUAGUUGAUAUCUAUAUAUAUGUUUUAGAAAAAUUCACUUGUUGAUUGACUGAAUUUAUUUGGUCCAAUAAUGAACCUUCCUAGCAUAUGUCUCGUUGUCAAAACAGAUGGAUUUCUUGAAUCAAGAUUCUAGGAAGAGAAAUUAUGUAUACAUCUUCCUAUCUUGUCUAAUAUAAUAAGUUUAUCUUUUUAAUAGUCACAAAAAAAAAAAAAAGUUAUAAAAACUAAUUUAAUCAAAGAAUAUAAAAUAAAUUGCAAAUGUGAUACUUAAAAAUUGAGGUCAUGUUUGGUCUAUUAAAUUAAAAGUAAAAAUUUAAGAGCAUAAACCUAUUAUGAGAAGAAAUCAACACUCUCCAUAAAUACAAAGAAAUUACAAAAACUUAAUUAUUUAAUUGAAGCAUGGUGAUAUGUUGAAGAUUUAAGGGUUAAAAUAAGUUAAAUUACUUUAAGUAGCAUAUAAAAAUAAAUUAUGAAUUUUAAAUUUUGUUUAUUUUCCUUCACUUUUUUUACUUAUAUUUCUUCUCUCUAUUUUCUUUUUCUUAUAUUUUUUUCCUUAAAUUUUUUUGGAACCGAACAUAACUUCAUUUUUUUUUCUUAUAUUUUUCUAGAAACUCAACAUAGCCUUAAGCAAGAUUGAAAACUAUAGGUGUAAGGAUUAACACAAAUAUUUUAGGCAUAAUAUAAAGUAAAAUUAGAUUUUGUAAACCAUUUUAGUGACUAGAAAUUAUAGGGAAUUUCAAAUCUAUGAACUUAAUCAACACUAUGCCACAUAAAGUCACUGUCCCAUCCGACCUUCCUAGUUAGAGCCCUCCAACCCUCUCAAAUUAGAACCUUUAUCUUUGUAACAGCAUCCUAAAAAAACUUGUGACCUAUUCCAUCACCACAAGAAAACCUACAGGUUAUGAUUAGUCUGAAAAGUAUUAAGGAAAGAAAAAUUUAAUUUUAUCAUGAAAAAUAUUUUUAAAAAAAAUCAAAUAUAAAUAAAAUUUAAAAUUAUUUGGUGUUUGGUAAACAAACUUAAUAACUUAAAGUAACUUAAUAACUUAAUUUAUGUUAUUGAGUAAAUAAUUUAAUGAUAUGACUUAAAAUAAAAAAUAAUUUAAGUAAUAAUAUAAACAAUUAACUUAUUAUUAAAUCUACAUCUUCAUUUUAUCUUUUUACAGUCAUUUGCCUUAGUUACCCCUAUAAUUUUUUAUACUACUUCACAACCUCCAUUGUUACUCGACUUCCUUUGUUCUAAUUAAAAUUUAUGAGGAUAAAUAUAUCAAUUUGAUGAUGUAGAAUAAAUUUUAAGUUAAUUUUAUCAAACAACCUUAAUAUUUGAAGUCAAAAAAUAAGUAAUAAGUUUUUAAGUCAAUAAUUUAAGUAUAUUUUAAUUUAAAGUUAACUUAAGUAGUUAAAUAAUAAGUAUUAAAUUUUACCAAAACUUGAAAAUGAAAAAUAAAUUAAAUGAGGUUGAGAUUGUAUAUAAAAAUAAUUUAUUUCUUAUUUUUCUUUUCUUUUUCUUUCCUUUUCAUUUUUUCUAUCUAUCUUCAUUUGCCCACAAAUUUUUGGAACCAAACAUACCCAUAAGAACUCAUCUAAAUGUUGUCUCAAAAGUUGUUCCAAGGAACUUCACAAAAUCUUAUACUCCCUAGAAAUUGUUACCUAGAUCUAAAAUGUAAGCUUCAUGGGUCCUCAAGGAUAAUUAACCAAUCAAAACUGAAUUACGAAAAAGAAAAAAAAAACUUUUAUAUUUUAAAAUAUUCAAACCCUUGAAUCUCCCAAGGAGGAUGAUUGAUCAGUCAUAUGGCAGUAAGGGAAAUUUGUCAAGGCUAUGUAUAGGACUAUCAUAACUCAUGAUCAAUCCUCCAUAUAUAAAAUUUUUAUUCAUGGGGCACACCACUUGUAUAUAUUUAAUUUUUUUUCCCCUCUCAUUUAUAUCCAUUAUUUUGUUAUAUGGUUGAGUCUUUCUUCGAAAACAAAAUAAUUUAGGACUCUUCUGCCCAUGUUUUCUUGAACUUAUUUUUUUAAAAUUGUUUUAAAGUUGAACAACACAAAACAAUUUAUUGCUAUUUUGUAAAUAUAAAGAUGUUAACACAAACUUUUGCUUUAUCUUAAAUUUUCUUAACAAAAAUUCAUUUCUUUUUCAACCUUCUAAUAUUUCAGUCAAUUUUUUCAGCAAAAUUUGAAUCUAUAUAUAUUCUCAUCCUUGAAAGGUAUAAGGCAUUUCACUAAGAUUAUAAUUUUCUCAUCCUCUUUCACCUAUUUGGUUUCUUUUUGGAUGCAAAUGUCUGUGAUGAAAAAACUAAUAACUGAAAAAUGAGUAUCAAGUUGAAAGAGACGAACUUCAUUUUGUCUCCUUGGGAUUUUGUUAAAAUAAUUAUAUUUUAACUUAAACAAAAAGUGUAAUUUUAAUUUGGAGGAAAAUUUUCAUAUUUGAGGUAAUAUAAGGUAUUUUGUUGCAUGUUAUGCACUUAUCAUAGCUUAUUUAUCUAGUUACAUAUAUUGAUUGAAGUAGCAUAGAUUUCAAUAAAUAGAUUCGAUGUUUACUAUGUUUUUAGCAUUUAUUUAACUUGCAAUGACUUAAAGAAUUAGGUUUUUACUUAGGUGGGUGCUUUUAUAUAUAUAUAUAUAUAUAUAUAUUUACUUAAUUCUAAAUAGAACUUAAAAAUAAAUAGUACUUAGUAGUAUUAAGUAUUAGAUUAUUUGUUUUUGUAAUAUUUUAUUUCUAUUAAACAUUAAAAGUAAAGAAAAACCAACAUACUAUUUUUCCUAUUUAGAAAAAACCAAUUAUUUUAGUUUUUUUAACUAAGCAAAAAGUUUAUAAUUAGUCAUAAAAAAGUUUUUUUUUAAAAAAAAACAAACAAACAAACAAUCAACUAAAGUUUGAAAGCAAAUUGCCUUUAGCAAAAAGUUAAAAAAACAAACACUCCCAAAGUUAAAUAUUUAAUUUUAUAAUCAUGGGUCGGAUUUCAAGUUACAAAAAAUUUAGGUCAUGACAAAUAUUACUUAGGUUUUUACUUGUAAUAUAAUAGAUCAAAUAGUUCUAAAUCAUGACACUGGUAUUAUUGAAAUUCCUAUUUGGUUCUAACAAUUAUUUAAUACUACUUUUUCAUGGUAUCAAAGAAAUUUAAUUUAAUUAUGAGAACAUAAGAGCCUAUAAUAAAGUUAAAAUCCUUAAUACCACACUAUCUAAAAGUUAAAAUCCUUUAGUUUAUGUUUGGUUUUUGGAAAAUUUGAGGGCAAAUGUGAGAGAAAAAAAAUAAAGAAGAAAAAUAGAAGGAAAGAAAAAGUGAAGAAAAAUAAAAAUAAUUUUAAACUCAAUAAAUUAUUUUUACAUGCUUUUUCAAACUCAUUUUUCUUAUUUCCCUCUAUUAUAUAAAGAUUAAAUAAUUUUAAAAUAUAUAAAUUUUUAACAAAUUUUAAUUAUAUUUGAUUUUCUUUUGUACUUUUUUCACAAUGAAACCAAAUACAAAAAAAAUCAUUUUUCUUAACAUUUUUUUUUCUUUCUUUAAUACUUUUUGGAACCAAAUAUGGCCUUAACAAACAAGAAAAGGAAAUAGAGUUGACAACAUAUUUGCCAAUGUCCAUCUUGUUUCCAUAUUCUUUCUCCACCCACGACCUAUGGUCUCAUAUGCGACAAAAGAAAGAGAGCAACAUAGUCAAAAUUCAUUUCUCUCUUCAAAUAUAGUGACACAAUAAGUAAAUAAUAAUAAUCAUCAAAUUAAUUUUCUUUUCUUUUUUCUUACCUAAAGUUUUUUAGAAACCAUAUAGAAAAAUAGAAAAUAUGAAAAAACUGAAACCUGACCUUGCAUUCUAUUGCAUCGACACUCUCAUUCUUCACAAGACUUAUAGUGACAAUAAAAAUUAUAAAAACAAAAACCGGUUAAAAUUUAAAAUCGUAAGAAUUCACCGAAAAUCUAGAAAGAAAAGAGAGAGGUGUUAGGGUUUUAAAGCAACGAAUAAAAUACCAUGAAAUAAGGAACCUCUUCUAUAGUCCAACGAGGGUGCAGUGUUGGGUUUCAACAAGGGAAGAGUGGUCGUGGUGAGGAUUUCAAAAAUUGGAGGUGUGCCAGGAAGGGUUUCAGAAAACAAGAUUCGUAGAAAAGACAGGGAAACCCUAAAAAUAGGUCUUAUAUGUGGGCUCUUUGCUUGCAUAUCCAAUAAAAUCUGUGCCCUCAAUCAACUUAUAGUGGGGGAACUAAGCCAGGCACAUCUCAUCUGAAGCCACCCUUUCUACACUGCACAUAUCAAGUCUAUAUCUGGGAUUCUUGUGAUGUUGUGCCCAUUACUUGCCUAUAGUUCCUCAAGUAUGGAAACAUUGGCAGUCAUCUUCAAAUUGAUAAAUGGUAGUUUUUUCCAUUCAUACUUUCAUUCGUUCAUGUACAGAGUAUAUAUAGAGGGUAAUCACCAUUCUAAGAAUGGGAAAGAAUAAUACAAGGAAAGAAUGAUAUAAGGAAAUAACAACUAAUAUCCUAAUAUCUCAACUUUCCUAAUAUCUCAAUAUUCUUAAUAUCUCAACUUUCCUAAUAUUUAAACAUUCCUAAUAUCUCAACACUAAAUAAUAUAAGGAAAGAAUGAUAUUCGGAAAGCAUUCCUAAUAUCUCAACACUCCCCCUCAAGUUGGUGCAUAGAUGUCACACAUGCCCAACUUGUCUAAAAAUUUUGAGAACACUUGACUUGAGACAGCUUUGGUGAGGAUAUCGGCCAAUUGAUCUUCUGAUCGAAUCUUAGGCAAUUCCACAAUCUUAUCAUCCAACUUUUCCUUAAUGAAGAAUCUAUCCACCUCGACAUGCUUUGUACGAUCAUGUUGUACUGGAUUAUGAGCAAUGUCACAUGCGGCUUUAUUGUCACAAAACGAUCGGAUUGGUUGCCUAGAUAGGUAACCUAAAUCAUGUAAGAGAAGUCUUAGCCAUAAUGCCUCACAAAGUCCUAGAGCCAUACCUCUAAAUUCUGCUUCUGCACUUAAACGAGCGACGACAUUCUGCUUCUUACUUUUCCAUGUCACAAGAUUACCACCUACAAAGGUAAAGUAACCAGAUGUAGAUCGCCUAUCAUCCACUGCACCGGCCCAAUCAGCAUCAGUAUAUACUUCUAUACUCUGAUGAUUAACAUUUUUAGCAAACAAAAUUCCCUUCCCAGGAGCAUUCUUCAAAUACCUCAAAAUAAGCAUAAUUGCAUUCAUAUGUUGCUCUCCAGGAUUAUGCAUGUAUUGACUCACUACACUCAAUGCAUAACUUGUAUGAGCUAAGUACAUUAAUCUCCCCACAAGUCUCUUGUAUCUUCCCUUAUCGGUUGAUACUUGAUUAGGUUCAACACACAAUUUUAGACCUUCUUCUAUUGGUGUAUUAACAGGUUGACCUCCCGACAUUCCAGUCUCCUAUAAAAGAUCUAAGGCAUACUUUCUUUGAGACAGAAAAAUUCCUUCACUUGAUUGAGAAACUUCAACCCAAGAAAGUAUUUCAGAUGACCUAGAUCUUUCAUUUCGAAUUCUCUAGAUAGAUAAUUUUGUAGAGCUUUUUUUUCUUCAGGAUCGUUCCUAUAACUACCAUGUCAUCCACAUAUACGAUGAGUGCGGUAAUCUUACCAUGUUGCUUUUUCAAGAACAAAGUGUGAUCUGAAUUACUUUGACGAUAGCCAAAAGCUCUCAUUGACUUUGUGAACCUUCCAAACCAUGCUCUCGGGGAUUGCUUCAACCCAUACAAUGACUUCUUCAAUUUGCACACCUUUUGACAUUGCUUUUCUAACACCAUGCAUCCUGGUGGAAGAUCCAUAUAUACUUCUUCAGAUAACUCGCCAUGAAAAAAGGCAUUUUUCAUAUCGAACUGUUGUAAUGGCCAAUCUAGGUUUGCAGCUAAAGAUAGUAAUACUCGAACUGUGUUGAUCUUAACUACAGGUGCAAAUGUCUCUGUGUAGUCAAUUCCAUAAGUUUGAGUGUACCCUUUUGCUACCAGUCUUGCUUUAAAUCGUUCAAUACUACCAUCUGCCUUGUACUUCACAGUAUAGAUCCAACGACACCCAACUGGCUUCUUUCUUGGUGGACAUUCUACGAGUUCCCAUGUUUCAUUCUUCUGCAAUGAUUUCAUCUCUUCAUUCAUAGUUGCUUUCCACCUUGGGUUAGCUAAGGCUUCCUGCACAUUGUUAGGAAUAGCUACAGUAGAUAAUUGAUUUACAAAUGACUUAUUUGAUUCAGACAAACGAUGGUUAGACACAUAGUUGCUCAUGGGAUAUUUGACUUUGGUAGACAAUUCAGGUUCAUAUGUGGGUUUAGGAAUACCUCUAUUAUGUCGGUGUGGUAACCGUUUCAUGAAUGGAUCAUGUUCCAAAUUAAGAACACCUUCAACAAACAACGAUUGGUUUGGUAUUUCAGUGAAGACAUCUUCAGACCCAAAUUGUUGACCACUCAUAUCCAACUCACCCGCUUCUUGGUUCACUAGUUCAGAUUGUCUAGAUUCAUUCUCCUCAGAGAUAUGAUAAUCAUAAUCGAGAGUUUGAAUUUCCUUAUGGUACUCCCCCCUGAAGUUCAGACUCAGAUGAAAAAUACAUCAAAUCUUCAUGAAACACCACAUCCAUUGUAAUAUACAUUUGUCGAGUUGGAGGAUGGUAACAUCGAUAUCCCUUUUUGUGCAAUGCAUAUCCCACAAACACACAUUGCAAUGCAUGGGAAGUUAACUUGGUGCAUUGGUGUUUGUGUAGAUGCACAAAUGCCACACAACCAAAAACACGAGGAGGUAGAUUUGGGACAGUUGGGGCAACUACGGCAUUAGUAAGAGCUUGGAGAGGUGUUUGGAAGUUAAUUGAGCUGGAAGGUACCCGAUUGAUCAAGUAUGCGGCAAAUGUGAUUGCUUCUCCCCAAUAAGAUAUCGGUGUUUUUGCUACUAUCAAGGAAGCACGAACAACCUCUAACAAGUGCCGAUUUUUCCGUUUAGCGACUCCAUUUUGCUGGGGUGUAUUGGAACAAGUAGUCUGAUGAAUGAUGCCAUGUCCUUCCAAAUACUUUUGAAGAUCAGAACUUUGAUAUUCUCCACCAUUAUCACUACGCAGAACCCGAACCUUUGCAUUGUACUGAGUUUCAAUCAUUUUAUGAAAUUUUUGAAACAACAAGUUCACUUCAUCUUUGGUCUUCAUCAAGCAUAACCAUGUCAUUCUGGUAUAAUCAUCAAUAAAAGUAACAAACCAACGUGAGCCACUCAAAGUUGGGACUUUGGAUGGGCCCCAAACAUCAAAAUGUAUAACCAUAAAAGGAAACGGACUUUUGUUCAAAAUUAACGGAAACGAAACACGAUGGCUUUUAGCCAAUUCACAAAUAUCACAACGGAAACUAGAAAUAUCACUCUUUGCAAACAAACUAGGAAACAAUUUUUUUAAAUAACCAAAGGAAGCAUGUCCCAGACGUCGAUGCCACAACCAAAUUUCAGACUUUUUCUUCUCCCCCUCAGAUCCAUCUGCCAUCAAGGCUUGUUGCAACUUAUUUGAAUCCUUUGACUGCAAGUCCAAGUAAUAGAGUUUUCCCUGCUUAAUACCACAACCAAUCGUCUGUCUUGUUUGGAUGUCCUUAAUCACACAAAAUUCAGGCCAAAAAAUGACUAUACAAGAUAAGGCUGCGGUGAUUUGAGAAACUGACAAAAGAUUGUAAUCUAAAGAUGGAACAACUAAAACAGAAUCCAAAUUCAAAGUAUCAGUAAGAGUUAAGGAUCCUUUCCCAAUGACUGGGGUUGUGUUACCAUUGGCUGUGGAAACAAUUUUUUGUGAGGAAGGUCUAAGGGGUGAAACCUGUCUAGAAUCAAAAGUCAUAUGAUCUGUAGCACCAGAAUCAAUUAUCCAUGCACUAUUAAUAACAGGUGUAAAAGUAUUUAAAAACUUACCACCAUGAUCUGUAGUGGCUACCAAUGCAGAGGCUUUCUCAGCAACAUUAGCCUUUGUUUUUAUUUCGGCAACAGUUGCAAUCGAGGUUUUCUUGGAAUCCUUCUUCCGUUGAUCACGAUUAUUACCAUUAAUAACAAAGUGUUGAUAGCCUAAACAUGAUCUAAAGAUCCAUGGUUCAAACCCUCGGUUCCUCAUUGUUUUCCUAGUCAUACCAAGAGUCGUUGCUUUGAAAUUGUGGGAUAUCCAGAUUGGUGGGAUCAAUCUUAUUGCAGUGAGUGCAUUUGAAGGUUGACUUAUCAAUAUUAGGGCUUGUCUUAGGAUGGAUGAUCACUGUCGGACUACCAUAGCGACAAAAUAUCCAGGAUUUCAGUUCCAUGGCUCUGAUACCAUCUUCAAAUUGAUAAAUAGUAGUUUUUUCCAUUCAUACUUUCAUUCGUUCAUGUACAGAGUAUAUAUAGAGGGUAAUCACCAUUCUAAGAAUGGGAAAGAAUAAUACAAGGAAAGAAUGAUAUAAGGAAAUAACAACUAAUAUCCUAAUAUCUCAACUUUCCUAAUAUCUCAAUAUUCUUAAUAUCUCAACUUUCCUAAUAUUUAAACAUUCCUAAUAUCUCAACACUAAAUAAUAUAAGGAAAGAAUGAUAUUUGGAAAGCAUUCCUAAUAUCUCAACAAGUCAAACACUCUCAGACCUCCAUAUUCUGAUGGUCAUAGUCAUGAGCUUCUGCUGUCGUGCAUGUGCAGCAGAUUGUUAUGAUGAUUUUGGACAAUCACAUGAACAGAAAAUAUAAGGCAUAGGGUGAUAGGACGACCCAUUACAUGGCCUUCCUGAAGACUAACCUUGAAAUCUUCAUUAGUAUAAACUAUAAAAAUGAGUAGGUCAACAACUUAGCUAAGCUUGCAGAAGUGUCUUCCUUGUUAAGUACAUAGAAAAGUCAUACUCAUCUAGCUGCCACCCAAACUGGAAUUAAUAACACAAUCGACCAUUUGUUGGAUGGAUUAUUUCCAUGCCUACUUAGAGAACAACAUAAUUCCUAAGUGUACAAAUUGAGAAUACAUGCUAUGAGUUACUCCAUCAUCAAUGAAGAACUCUACCAAAGAUCAUUCUUUGGUUGGUAAUUGACGUGUCUAAGAAUAGACGAGACCAAGUAUGUGUUGGUUGAGAUAUACCAAGGGCAAUGCAUCAACAACAGGAUAAUCCGUAGCCCAUUAUGCCCUAUCCCAGGGGUACUGUUUGUUGUUCAUGCACAAAGAUAUAGCGCCAUAUAUGAGCAAGUGGAAUAUUCACACCCAUAUUCCACUUCCUUGCUAAGCAACCAUUAUCCCUCGUCAAUCCUUUGGAUUUUACACGAUGGUGGAUUAACAUUACAAGAUUGUUGUCUACUGCCCCACCCCAGAAGCUCGUCUUUUUACAAAGUAGGUGGAAACAUGAAUAAUUUGAAUGAGUUUAAAUAGAUUACAUGUGCCAAAUUUACAUCACAAAAAUAAAUAAAUAAAUAAAAAUUCAGAGAUUUUCUUCUUCUCUACAUAUCAAUCAUAAAAUAAAACAAAUCAAUUGAGAGAUUAUUUCCUUCUCUGUAUGUUAUCAUAUUCUCUCUAUGGAGUUUGGUAAUAGACAAUCCUUGAGAUAUUAUCCUACAUUCAGCCCAAUUGUUUCCAAAUUGUUUCAAUAAUCUUUUCCACAUUUUGCUAUUGAAAAUAUUCCAUGAAUACUUUAGUACUUUUAUGAUUCCCCCUCUAGCUAGCUAGCGGGUGGUAACCUAUGCACUCCUAGCUUGUAUUGAAGAUUCUAAAAGAAAGCCUUAGGAAGACGUCUUGAGGGAAUAAAAAAGUACCAAGAGCUCCCAUUGUGACCUUGUCUUGAAAAAAGUAAUAAUCUAACUCAUUGUGCUUAGAACAUACGUUAUAUGAAAGACAUGAAGUUUUCCAAACCUAAAGAGAUAUGUUUCAAAGGCAUCUGAAUAGAAAAAUUUAGCAACAAUCAUUUACAACCUUUCAUCUAAUUCAUAUUUGAAGUUUAAAAAUUGUGGACUAAUCCUUGGUUUUGUGUUAAACCAUGGUUUUAACCUUAGAGUGUGACAUUACAUAUACUAAAUUUACAUCAUAAAAUAAAAUAAAUCAACAUAAAUUCAUUGAGAGAUUUUUUUUCUUUCUUGUUAUGGUAUCGAUCAUAAAACAAAAUAAAUCAGUUGAGAGAUUGUUUCCUUCUCUAUGUAUCCUCUAUAUGGAGUAAAUAUGGUAAAAGGAAAUAUUUUAGAUAUUACUCUACAUUCAACAACUUUGACUUCAUCAAUGAUUUCCAAAUUAUUUCAAUAAUCAUCACUUUUUCAUAUUUUGCUCAUGGAAUUCUACCAUGAAUACUUCAUUACUUUUAUUUAGGGCUACAACUUGGACGAGUUAGUUGAGUUGAUGACUAAUCUAAUCCCAAUCCGAAUUAAGAAAGAAUCAACCCAAACACCACCCAAAUUGAACUCUAACCCGAAGUACAUAACCUAAGCCCAAUCCAACCUCAUUUUUCUAAGUUCGGAUUGAAUUUGGAUUGUUCAAGUUAAACUUGAGUUAGUCGGGUUAGAUUCAAGUUGAUCGGGUUGACUUCAAGUUAAUCAAGUUACAAAGUUCAAAUUCAUCUAUAAUAUUUUAAAAUUUUUUUAAAUGUAUUUAUAUGAAAAUUUAUAUAGUAGAUAGUACAAAGUAAAUUUCAAGAUAGGAACAAAAAAAUAAAAAUAAAUUUAUAAAUUUUUCUAAAAAAUGAAAAAUAUAUGAUAUAAUAUAAUUUGAUUCUAUAAAAAAAAUUAUAAAGUAAAUGAAUAUUAUUAUAUAGGAUAAUAUAUAUUAUAAAUAUUAUAAAAAUAUUAAAUUGAGUUCAGCUUAUGCUCGGGUUAUUUGAAUCUUAGUCCAAACCCAAGCCAAAGUGAACUUGUGUUGAAAUUUUUUUACCCAAACCCAACUCAAGUAUUGAAAAUGAUUGCCCAAGUCUAACCAAAUGUUGGGUUGGGUUCGGGUUGGAUUGAGUCAACCCGCCCAAGCUAAACCUCUACUUUUAUUAAUGCCAACAUAUAGGACUUUGAUGUUAAGCUUGAUAUUGCAGGAUGUUGUCCACUGUCCCGCCUCAAAAAUGCUUCGUUUUACAAAGUGAGUGAAACAAAAAGCUUAUGCAAAUAUAUAAGACUUUGAAGUUAAGCAUUUCUCAUAUGUCAAUUUGGCAUACCCAAGAAAUGGUGAUAAACAAUGAGGUCCAAUUUAACCCUAUUCUCAUCAACAAUUUCUACAGCAAGCUUGGAAGAAGGAUUUUCUAGUCCAUAUCAUAGUUCCCUUGCUGCAACAAUUGAGCAAAAUCCAACGAGGAGCUACCCUUGCUGCCCUAAGCUUGCUGCUUAAUAGCUUGAAAACCCAAGAGUGAGACACCCUUCAUAAUGGCAUAUGGCGUGAAGGUAGUAAUAACCACAAAAAUUGAAAAGCCAAUAGCUUGUUCAUAUACCUUUUAUGCAUAAUUUUGUCAUUUUUAACCUAGACAUAAUGUAAUCUAGUAGGGGGGUUGUCGAAUGGAUUGUAAAUAUGAUGUUUGUUAUACACAUUAAUAUGCUAGUAUAUUCAUGAGAUCUCCGACAUGAAUUACUUGUAGCAAACAAGUGAUCACCUAUAGAGGUGCAGCAUAGUCCAACUGAACCUCUGGUUUCUUUUGCUUAGAAGUUGACCUAGCUGUCUUUCAACUUCGGCAGCCAAAAAUUCAACCCCAGUAGUCCCUAGAAUAAAUGAUUUUAUAUUUUAACUAGUGGGUAAAAAGUGAGUUAAGGUCUCUGACAACAAUGUCUCCAAACAACUAUAUAUUUAACCAUUUUAACCUCGCUACUACCAUCAAUAUGGUAGAAGAGGAUACUGGAACAUAUGCUGGAAGAGCAAUCAAGAGCAGAUAGCUUCAAAUUCUGAAGGUUAGGUGGAGUUGGAAACUAUAGUUUUAUUAGCCUUUAGAUACAAUUUUAACCUCUAUUUUUUGACAGGAACUUGGAGCUUUUGAGGUGAGGAAGGGCUUCCAACCUCUAUUUCUGAUAGGAACAUGGAGCUUUUGAGGUGAGGAAGGGCUUCGCCUUUUUCAAACUUAGCCAAGUUGUAGUGCAACUCCUUUGGCCAUGCAUAUAUGUGCAUAUUGCCUUGAAUUCAGUCAAAGUAAAAGGGUAAUCAUGUAAACUCUUUUCAUGAUUUGCUUUUCGAACAUAAAAAUCUGAUAAAAUUUAAUGUGACAAUUAACUCACAAUAUUAAAACUUUCAGAAGAUCACAAAAUCUGAUUGAUGUUAAGGACUCAUUCUAUACACAUAAGUUCAUUUGCGAGUAAGUGGGAACCAAUUUAGAAGGUCAAGUAUAUUUACUGUCAACAAGAAUGUUGCCCUCCAAUUUAAGAUCUCCACUAAGGAGGAACCCUGUUUGAUCCAGAUUCCAGGAUCAUGCAACAGAGUCUAAAUCAAAUCAAGAGCAACGUUCCAAUUUGUGAAUACCAAGAAUAGCUGUAUCUUCUUUUUACAGGAUCCAGAUUCUGUGUAAGCAGUGAAAUUAUUUGCAAUCAGACAAUCAUCAUCUUCUUCAAGAAAUGCUGCUAUGAAAUUAUUUCUAGCUGUGUCUGACUCUUCACAACAUGAAGUUAGCAACCAGAUUGCUCAAUCACCAAGCCACAAAGAUGAUACAACCGAACAGUUGCAGUAGGAAAACUUCUUUGUUUAUUCAGAAUCAAGAAAAUCUUUAGGUCCCUCAUACCACGACCGCUCCCAAUCUUUAGGUCUUGGGGGAAGACAAUUCCUUCAUUCUCUACGUGGACAGAAGUAGUGCUUGCUUUUCUGGCUUUUGUCUCUCCACAGUCUGUAAAAAAAAUGUCCCAAAAAACAACUAAUGAUCAGAAAAAGUGUAAAAGGGAAGAGAGAAAACUGCUGAUAGAUUGGAUCAGUCUUCUUCUUCAUUAGAUCAUUACAAACAUCUGGCUUUGAAAAAUUUGAAGUUAAUUAACUACCAUCAUUAUAAAUAUUUAUUUUUCCUGAAAGAAUGAAAAUGUAUGGUUGCUCUAUGAGUACAGCCCUCUACAGCACAAAAAUAAACAAAUACUGUGGUCAAAGCUGUCAAUCAAAAUCCCCCUAUCCAGAAUGCAUGUCAAUGGCUGAUCCAUAUUCCCACACUAGUAUCCCAUAUCAAAAACCACAUACAUACAGAGAAUAAACUCGAUAAGAUUUCCUCCAAGAAUCAUGGCAUCAAUGAUGAAGAAUGGCUUUUAUCCAAGUUUGAGGCAGUUUGCCAUAUUCAUCUGCUUCCCCAUGAGUCUCAUGUAGUUAAUGGAAGGAUUCAAUAAACAAUCUCGAAACGCAUGAGUGUUUUUGGCCUAAUAAAAUUCAGCAUAUGGCAUGAUUUUGUAUGUGUAAAUAGGGACUACUGCUAGCUUGUUUGUAUGAAAUAACCAUGAUUACUAGACAGUCACAUCAAAUUAAGCAGAAUCUACAAAAUACUGAUCUCCAUUUCGUACCAUGUCUGAGAAAUUUUGUGAAAUGAUCAUAAACUGAACAUGAAUUAUAUGUAAUCUACUUCAUUUACCAAAGGUAAUGAAAUCUAUUCUAUUUUUAUAAUCAACUUAAUUAGGAAACUCAGAUACUAAUCACUACCAUACGUACAGAAAUCAUAUUACUUUUCUUUAAUACCUCCCUUGAUCAACUUACAUGCUAAGAAUGAAAAAAUCAUAAGGCAAUCAGAUGAAACAAACCAAGAAAACAAAAAUAUUGAAUGCAGAGUUAUGAAAUAUCACCAGAUGAGAUCCAACAGUACAUUAAAAAAAAUUGUAAACUUGCUUACCUUGGCGCCAUGUCUGGAGGAAUCCCAAUUGUUAAGCAUAGGGCCCAUGUUGACAAGCACAUGCCCAGAUCUUAGACACCCUCAAGAUGAACAAUGGCAGCUACUCUAGGCACUCCUACUGCACAGGCAAAAAUAAGUUAGCUAAUGUUUCUUGGCAAUUGGCUUUGGAUUGGACCUUGGUAGAUAGGUCAGUUUUAGAUAGAUAAGUUAAUAAUCCAAUAACUAUAUUCCAAGAUGCAUCAUAUGCAAUGCAUCAAUUUGGAAAUUCAAAACAAACAUUUGAGGCAUUUAAAUAGUCAGUUUUCAACACUUUCAUAUUCAAAUGUGUACAAAAUGAUUAUAACUUGAAAGUUUGAAUAUAAACUGAUGUACAAUAUUCCCAAAGGCUCAAGUCUGCCAGGAAUAAGGCUUCAAAUCACACAUUUACGUAGCCUCAUGUUUGAGUUAAGCAUGUACCCUAUCUAUUAAUGAGUUCAUCAAUAAUAAGUUUUUUGCAAGAAAUUGGGACCUGAAAUUACUCUACUCAUUUUCUUGAAUAAUGAAUUUUCUUAAAAGUGUAAUUGAUUAUCAAACAUAGUCAGGCAUUUAUAUCUAUGGUGGAAACUAGUCCGCUGCCAAAGAGAGGGUCAAAGGCCUAAUUAUCAUUUUGCUAAACAAUGUAAUAUAGUCAUCCAAAAAAAUUUAUAAUUAUACCUUUUUCCGACUCCACUCAUGCCAUUGAACUUUAUAGUUGGACAAACCUAGAUCAAAAUAUACAAAAAAUAAAGAAUAAGAGAAAACAAGCUAGAAAAAACCGCAAGCACUAAAAUUUGUACUUUAAAAGAGGAAAUAGGCUAGCAAUUGUAAGUUUAAUUUACAGAAACCUUACAAAAUAUAUUUAAAAUUAUAGGAAAACUACUUACCUUUAAAAAAUUGGUGCAAACACUCUACCUUUUGUUGAUGUUCACAUCUCGAGAAGAACAACUUCUUUCUUAGUAGAUCUGAUGAUGGUGUUAAUCUUUGGGAAGAGAUAAUUAGAAGGCUGCGUUGAAUUUUAGCGAGUGAGAGAGAAAGGAUCACCCAAAACCCUAAAGCAAAAAAGGAAUUAGUAACUUAAAUAGAUUCCAUUUUUUCCUCAUGACGUGUCUACCUUAGUAAGGUUUUUAUCAUAGUGACAACAUUUGGAUAAUUAAGUGAUGACUUUUGAUAGAUCUUUUCUAUUUGAAUUUUUAAUAUAUAAACUUAAUCUUCUUUACUUGGGGUAAUAUAUAUAUGGUAUUUUAGGAUUUAAUUUUUAAUAAUAUGCUUUUAGUUGAUGGUUUAGCUAUCUCCUAAUGUAAUAAGAAGUAAUCUUGAAUUACAUUAUCUGCUAUGGAGUAGGAGUGUGUUGCUUGUUCAAGGGAUGUAUGGGAAGUUGUUUAAUUGAUGAUAUACUUUCAAUGCUUAGAGUCAUGACUUGAGCUGAUAUGGUUAUCAACAUCUAAGCAAUGAUGGUGUGGCAACUCUAUUGUAUAGCAAGGAUCCAAUUAGUAACAUUGUAGAAAAAACAGCUAGACAAUUGAUUCCACUACAUUCAAGAUAUUGUUGCUUAAGGGGAGGUAGUAAAAAGAAAUAGACAAUUGAUACAACUACACUCACAACAUAGAGACAAAACACACAAACAAUACUAUAGUUGAAUAAAUUGUUGGAAACCCUAGAUUACUCCAUCUCAUGCCUUAGAUCUCGUAGGUUGUAUGCAUCUAGCCCUAAGCAUCUCUAAAUCUAUUGCAACCAUAUUAAGAAUAAAGAUUUAGAGAUUUGAACCCCAUACUUAGAUCAAAAUGUUCCUAGAACAAUUCCCUGUGGUGAAGAAGAAGCUUGAAGAGUCUGAAGGUCUCGUACACCUAAGAUCUUAUGCCCAAUGACUCGAACCAUGAUCUUGGUACUCCAAAGUGUGGCCAAUGAAAUGGAGGAAGUAAUGGCUCUUUCUCUAGAUGUGGAAAACCACUCUCAUUUAAAAGUCAUGAAAACCCUAACCCCUAAGGGGUAUUUAUAGGGUUGCCCACUAGACUUAAGUGAGUUAAGCCCAUCAAGGCUUGAGUCACUUAAUCUAGCCUAAAAUAGGUCAUAAUUGAUUGAUUAACCACAUAUGAUCAUCUAAUUAAUUAGCCUAAUCCAGAGAUCUUGAUCAUUAUCCCCUAUGCAACCUUAUGUAAUUACCAAAAUGAAAUUAUGCAUAAGAAUGAAUUUAGAGUCAAUCCAACCCUCAUAAACUGUGUCAUUAUGGUAUAUAUAUGAGCUCAGAGUAGGAACCACUAAGACCCAUAGGAUUUCUAACUCUCUCAUAAUCCAAUUUUGAAGUUGAUUCAAUAUUCCACUAAAGAGAAUCAAUUGCACUCGAUCUAAUACCUUAUGUAAAUAACAAUAAAAAAAACCUCAAGUACAUAACCUACUAUCUGUUGACAUCUUAAAUCUAAGCAUCGGAAGCAAUACCAUUUAAAAAAAAAAUUGAUCUUUUAGGGUUAAAGUACUAGCUUUUAGGUUUGGAUAUUCUCAAACCUUAAAUUUUAAGUGUUGAAGACGACUUUGAAGUUGUUGGAAAUCUUGUAAACCCAUAAUCUUCCGUUCAAUGACUCAACCUUGUUUUUGACAUACUUUCAAUGGGAAAGAAAGAAGGCUGGAAGCUAUGACUCUCUUUCUCUCUAGAUAGUGGAAGCAAAAAGUUAUGGAAAACCUAACCUCUAUGGGAUAUUUAUAGAAUUCCUAACUAGGCUUAAGUGACUUGAGCCCACGUGGGCUUAGGUCACUUAAUCUAGCUCAAAAUAUGUUCUAAUUGAUUAAUUAACCUAAUAGAACUUACUAAUUAAUCAAUUAACUCAAUCCAAAGACUUUAUUCACUUACUCCUGUGUAACCUUAUAUAAUUACCAAAAUACCCUUAUAUAUAAAAGUGAACCUAAAGCCAAUCUGACCCUCAUAAUCAAUGUCAACAAGGUAUAUGAGUUCAAAGCAGGGACUAUUAGGACCCAUAGGAGUACCAACUCCCUCAAAAUCCAAUUUUGAAGUUGAUUUAACAUCCCAUUAUAGAAAAUCAACUGAACUCUUAGACUUAUAAAAUAAAAUAAUAAUAAGUAAAUUAACUUUAAUUAUUUCAUUUUCAUAUUCCAUUUAAAAAUGAUUCAAAUUAUACAAAUCAUCAUAAUAAUUUAUAUAUAUAUAUGUCAUAAUUUCUUUUAUAUUUGAAUAUUAAAUAUAUUUUAAAUUCUUAAAUUAUGUAUAUUAUUAUCGAAUAUCAUUAAUUAUAUUAAAUUAUAUCAAUUUUUUAAUAAAUAACUUCAUUAUGUGUAUUAUUGCUUCUUUUAUAAUUUUUUUUUAGUUUUUAUUAAUAUUUUACCAGUUUUUAUUAAUUUUGAUUUUUUUUUCAAAAUUUUCAUUGAUAUUUGUUGAUAAUUAUUUGUUUUUAAGUUUUACAAUAAAAAAAAAACUUUAAUAAAUAUAUUAUUUCUUAUUUUAUCAUGUUUAAGAGUUUUUUUUUUUUUUUUAAUAUUUCCACUAGUUUUGAUCAAUUUUUUUUCAUUGACAUUUUGUGACAAAAUAUUUACCAAUAUUUUCUAAUAUACCCUAAUAUCUAUAAAAACGAGUUAUUAAUAUAUCCAUCAAAAUAGAUAUUUUCAUCCUUGCUCACAAAUUAUAUUUUAUAUCUUUAUUUAUUUCGUUUUUCAUCAAACUCUCACUUCACAUUCUAGGUUACAAGACUACAACUUGAGAAUUUCUAGAGCACGGACAUAUUUGAAAUUUGAGACAUUGAUGGAAAGUGUAAAUCUUCUUUUUUAAAAACAAAAUAUUAAAUUAAAAAUAUACUACCAAGGCUGAAAAAAAAAAAGCGUGUAUAAAGGAUAAGAUAUAUAUAUAUAUAUAUAUAAUAAGAUUAUUGUAAGAUACAAACAAAUAAAAUCUAUUUUUACCAUGUGAUUAUUUUGAAUUGUAGAAGUCCUUUCUAUAAGGUAGUAUGAUAAUUAUAAUAACCACAAUAAUAAUAAUAGAAGAGAUUACUUUUCGUUGCGUGCCUUAAAACUAUGAAUAAAUACCUUUUAUUAUUUGAAGUCAUUUUCAAUUUGUACAAGUCAUGUACCUAGUACACAAUGAAUGUCUGCUGAUAACUUCAAAACCUAAGAAUAUUGAAAAUGGGUGCAGACUUUUUCAAUUGUUGACAUAUCCGCAAGCCAAGGGAUCUGCUCCAGCUGGGUGGAAUGUCCACAACCUGACAGUGAAAUAGAAUUUUGAGGCCCCAAUAGGGUCCCCAAAGCCAGAUAUAAAAUUAGAAUCUCGGGAUCUCUUCCAAUUGUAUGUUCAUAUUAAUUUUAUGAACAUAAUUCAAUUAAUUUUAUGUUCAUAUGAAAUGGAAUUUUGUACAUAAUUCACAUAAGCGGAUAAAUAAUCAUGCUAAGGAACCUUCUCCAUAUGGUAGGACGUAUGCAAUCAAAUACAAAACUAGAAUUAUAGGAUCCUCUCUUUUGAAGUCCCUUGAUGACCUCCUUGAUAAUCCUGAAUGCAUUCACCACCAAACUAAACUUAGAAUUGGAAAAAUAGUUUUGAACUUAGAACCCAUUUGGUAGUGAUUUGAGAAAGUAUUUCUAACAUUUUUAACAUUUAAAAUUUUUUAUCAUUCAAGUGUUUAAAAUGUUAUAAACGUUUCCUAAAAUCCCCAUCAAAUAUACUCUUAAUUAGGUGGAAAAAAAGCUACUUGGAUAUUUUGAGACUUAAAUGCAUGUGAUUCCCAAAUUGCAUAAACAAGUUCCAAGCAGAGUGCAAUGAGUUCCAAUUGUCAGAGGAUAAAACAUGAUAUUGAAAUAUGGUUUUAAUGUGACCCUCAAGUUUCGAUUCGCGUAUUGCAUAAACAAAAAAUAAUCUAACUCCCAAGCUUGGGCUCAAGCCACCUCCUCAACCUAUGGUUCAUAAGUGCUCUUUGUAAGUGCUUGGACUCUUGAUCAUUCUUCACUUUCAGCUACAUGUUUUUGCUAACAAAGUUGAGCAUACUUCAUUAUGUGCUAGGACCCAUUUAUGAUCACUUUAACAUAAUUUUAAUGUUAAACGCAUUCUUAUCUAAUCCUAAACCAUUAUAGAUAAUGAAGGUGCAAACUUUAACCCUAAUGAGGAUUUUGUGCAUAAUCAUAUUUGAAUGAAAUUUUAUUCCUUUGGGAACUUAAGGAGCAUGAGGUUCAAACUAGACAAACAAGUUAUACAUGAUUCAAGAUAAGACGUGAACUAGCCUCUGCAGGUGAAGUUAGGUGAAAUUAAAGUGGUAGGAAGAAACAAUGAGUGAAAACCAUAUUUUUUUGGUUAAAGAUCUUUUAGUGUAAUUGUACCUUGAGCAAAAAUUUAAAAUACAUUCGAUUGUAAUUCAAAGAAGUAUUUUUAAUCUUUCUAAAGUUACUGUCAAACUCACUCUUAAUAAGCUACUUUGAUACUUAGGGCAUGCUAUAAUUGAAUUGAGCGAAUGAGGUAUUGUUUGGAUAUGCCUUUGCUUUUAUUUGUUUAUUUUAAAAAAUAUUAAAUAUGGUUAUUAUGCCUAUUUUUUCUUCUUUUUAUUUUUUUUAUAAUUAAAUAACAAGAAUUUUAAAAAAUUUCAUGAUCUUAAAUGAUUUUAAUUAAUUUUAUGUUUAUAAAUAAGAUGAUUAUUGUUAGUCUUUUGAUAUAGAAGAAUAAGAUGUGCAAAAAGUUGGUGUUAAUUUAUGAUUUCAAAAUAUGUUUAGAAAAUUUUCAAAGUUGAAAAAAUAUGUCAUACUUUUAUAUUUUAAAUUUUUUCUAUAAAAAACAUUUAAAAGUGAUUCAUGAAAAUUUAUUUUAAAACUUAAAAAUUUAAAAAUAGAAGAAUGAUGAAGUCUGGCCAUUUUUUGGGAGAACAACUAAAUGAAUAUUUUUUAGGAUUCCAACUUUCACAUUUCAUCCCAAACACACAAUGGAUAAAAUUAUUUCUAAAAUAUGCAUUUAAAUAACAACUAAAUGAAUUGCCCCUUUUUAAAGUCUUUGAUAUGAUAAAUCAUAAUUGAAAGCGUUUAAUAUAUACCCUUUUAUUUCUACUUUUCUUUUCUUUCCUUUUUUUAUAUGAUCAAGUGGCCACACUUUCUCUUAUGAAAGCUCUUUAAUUUCAUAUUAUUUUUACUCUUAUUUAUUAAAUUUAAUCAUUUUUUAACACAUUAAAUACAAAAUGAUAAUAUAUAAUAAGUAAUUAAUGAGAACAAAUUAAAUAUAAAUUUAAAUAUACAAUGGACAAAAAAGACAUAUUAUCCUACAAAUAAUAUACUUGAUUAUUUAAAAUAUUAAUUAUAAUACAUUUGAGCUCAAAUUUACAAAUUAGGUUUUAUUAUUUAGACAUUUAGGAUAUAAGAUAUGUUAACUAGAUUUUUUUUUUUUAUAUUAAUGCUAAAAGAAUACUUAUUUAUUUUGUAAAUUUUACCACAUCUAAAUAAAACAAAAUGAUCUUUAUGAUGUUAUUUUUAUGUUUAUAUUAUUUUAAAGUUUUUAUUUUUCAUGUCAAAAUUAUAAUUCGUGAUGAUUAUUUUAGCUUUUUACAUACAAAUCAUCUACUCUUCCUGGUAAUUCAAUAUGAACAUAAAUUAAGCAUUUCAUGCCAACAAACUAAAUAUGAACAUAAAUAUAAUCUCAAAGAUGUAUUAUUUUUCUUAUGGGUAUAAUAAGUACAUUUUCAAGAAAAAAAGAAUGUUACUUAGAAAAAUAAUUGUAUACUUCAUAAGCAUAAGUACAACCUUAAUAAAAAUAAGAAUAUUCUUUAAAAAGUACAUCAUUUAAAUAAAGUACAAUAAAUUGAGCAAUUUAUGAUGACAAACUCAAUAUGAACAUAAAUGUAGUCUUAGGUAUGUAAUAACUACAUCUUAGAGAAAAAAAAAGUACAUGCCUCAAAAAAAUAAAUAUAUCUCUAGUAAACUUACUCAUAAUCUAAAGAAAAAUAAUGACAUUCCUUUAAAAAAAUAAUUGUUGUUUCCUUUUACAUUUCCUCUUUAUUAUAUUUCUCUCUCCUAUUUUCCUCAAUUUUACUUAUUUUCAUAAAACAUAGCUUAUAUGGAAAGGUGUUAAUUUAAUGAAGCAUUUAUAAUCGCCCUUUCAUAAUCAUGAAUUAACCUUUAGUUUCAACUUCUACCAGACUAAAUGAGCAAAGCUAUCACAGAGGCCUCAGCCAAUGAGUAACAAGCACUGUUGUACCAAAUAAUAAGUGGAAAAUACAAUUUUAUUAAUACUUGAGACAGAAAAAAAAAAAAAGGUAUGAUUUUACACUCAAAACAAGGAUUUAUUUAUAAUGAGGUGCAGUCUCCAUAUGCACAAAAGACUGCCUUUACAGGAUAAAGAAAGACAUGGAAAUUAUCAAUGUUUGACUCACUGGAAAAUCAUACAAAUUAUUGAAGGAGGACGAUUGUUCACAGUGAGGCUUAGCACAUCAGCUCUCGAAUAAUGUCCUACCACGUCAAACUGGAACUUUGCUUUUGGAAUCUCUCCACGAACAUCUACAUAUCAAGUGGUCAUAAAAAUAUUUUAUCAGUCCAUGAUAAAUAUCAUAGAGCAUCAAGUCUUCCAUAAAACUAUGUUUGCAGUCCUCUUAAACCUAAAGAAUUGACUCAUUUGCCUUAUCUGCAUACUGAAAUAUUUGGAUAUAUAAUUGGAGAAGUUAGGGCCAUACCAAGAUCAGCUGUGAAGAGGCCUUCUCCUUCGUAAUUCGGUCCUGCUAGAAUUUCAUCAUGGGGCGAAAUUAUGACACUACUCCAGCCCAAACAAUAGAAUCUGGAGUGACAUAUUCUUCUGUAGGACUGUAAAGAUACUCAGGUGGAGGUGGGUAAUCUUUCCUCCGACAGAACUGGAUAGGUGAAAGAACAUAGCAUCCACCCUCAAUAGCAAUGUGUCUCAUUGUAGCCACCCAUGUAUCCCCGGAAUCGGCAGUAGGAGCACAAUAUAUCUCAAUACCUAUAUAUAUGUACAUUGGUAUUCUGUGAUCAAUCAAUUCCAUAUCAAAGCCACAAUGUAUUUCAAGACUGCUUAAACUAAAACCCUAAUAACUUAAAAAAGAGUAUUGGAGGUCUUAUUUGGUAAUUGUCAUCGAAAACAGUUUUGAGAAAUAGUUGUUUAAAACAGUUUUUGAAAGUUAGUUCUUUAAUAUUUUGUAAAACAUAAGACUAUUUGAAAACCUAAAUUGUUUUUAAUUUGUUUUUAAUUUUUUAAAAUAUAUUUUAAAAAUAAUUUGUAACGACCCGCUCCCAACCAUGUAGAUAUUGUCUGCUUUGGACCCAAAGGGGCCUUUAUGACUUUAAAACACAUUUACAGAAUUACGAGGAGUCCAUACUUAUAUAGCGCCAGGAACUUUCUCCUCUAUCUAAAGACGUUGUUUGCAUGGGGGGUGUUUGUAACGUCCCACAUCGGAUAGGGGGAAAGUUCCUAGCACUAUAUAAGUAUGGACUCCUCGUAACCUUGUAGAUGAGUUCUAAAGCCGUGAGGGCCCCUUAGGGUCCAAAGCGGACAAUAUCUAAACGGUUGGAAGUGGGUCGUUACAUCUUACCUUUGGUAUUUUUUUAUUUAUAUAUGUUGAAGCUAGUAUUGACACUUUCUCUUCCUAACCUCUUUACUUUCAGAUUUAUUAACUUUAAUCAUUUUUUUUUUGGAAUAUAUAACUAAUGAGAACAGAUUAAAUAUAAAUAUAAGUAUGCAAACAACAAAAAAUGAAAAUUUUAUCCUAAAAAUAAUACACUUGAUACUUUAAAAUAUUAAUUAUAAUACAUUUGAUAAUUUAGGAUUUAGAUUUAAAAAUUAUGUUUUAUUUUUUAGAGGCUAGGAUAUAAGAUUUCCAUUAAUCAAAGAUUUUUUGUAUGAAUCCUAAAUAAAAUGUUUGUUUAUUUUUCAAAUUCUUAUCAUAUGUAAAUAAAAUAAAUAUAUUUUUAUCAUAUUAUUUUUAAUUUUUAAUUUUUUUUUGUAUCAAAAUCACAGUCAAUGAUAGUAGUUUUUGUUAGGAUAGAGUCCCUAAAAGCAUAACAUGUUGUAAAAAAUAUAUAGUCUUAUUUAUUUAAUGAUAUUUUAAUUUCACUUUUAUUUAUCAUUAUUCUAUGCAUUAUACCUUAUGAGCAUUCUACCUUGACAUUUCUUGCAAUGUAUAUGACUUGGGUGAAUUAAGAUUUACAUGGAACAUCCAAGUCAUAGGUUCCUACAAGUAGAUAAUUUGUUCAUAGUUGCUUUGUGAACUUAAGCAAUCCAUUUGAUAUUAUAGUGCACUACCUCUUAAUUUGAGAGAUGACUAGUUUUAACCAACGAGAUAGAAUUUUCAUGGUGAGUGCACUAAUGUGUAUAGUUGCACAUUAGAUCAAACCUACGGUGAGUCAUGAUGUAAGAGUAUCAGGUAGUCAUGAGUUCUCUAAGUUAUUAUAUUGUAUUUUCUGUCAACCUUGAGAGAAUACUGAGUUUGUGCCAAAGUUUAUAGUGACUUUGACAUAUGGGUGAAAUCCUAAAGUGAUGAUAUAUUCCCUAUGGAUUGGGUCAUUAUGGAUGAAAGUUAGUAGCAAUAAGUAUUCUCAAUAGAGGAAUCAAAUAUCUCAUGGAGUUUGAGACAAUAUGUUCCUUUAGAUGAUCCUAAGGACAUGUGAUCAUGAAAUCUAUACUCAUAGUAAUUUCUUAAGUGGAAUUUGAAAUAUGCUUUUAUGGGUUAGAGUAUGUCAGUUGAUCACAUCAUAGGAGGAUAUGUAAUUAAAGGAUGAUAGAGGUAACCUAGAAAGGCUAAUAACUUUCACCUUAUUAUAUUAUGAAUAAUACUUCAUAAGAAGACAAUAUACAAUGGAUAGCAGGUCAUAGACCCAAGCAAUGCAAUUGACUCUCUAUAAUAAGAUAUUGAGUCAACUUUAGAAUUGGAUUUUAAGGGAGCCAAUACUAUUCUAUCUGCUAUAGUGGUAUUGGCUCAAGUUCAUAUAUCUUGAUGGCAUAGUUUAUGAGGGUUAAAUUAGUUCAUGAUUCACUUAUGUGCAUAAGGGUGUUUUGGUAAAUAUGCAUGGUUAAAUAGGAGUUUGUUGGGACAAAGCCCUAUAAAGCAUGAUACGAUGUAAUAAAUUAAGUUUCAUUAUUAAAAUUAUUUAUUUAUUAUUCUAAUUCCGCUUAUGUUAUCACAUUUGCAUUAAUUCGUUAUUUAAGCAUUUACAUUCAUAUCACUUGCAUUGUACAUGACUUAGGAGUAUUAAGAGUUGAAUAAAAGAUCCAAGUCAUGGAUUUUUUGCAAUGUGAUAAGUGAUUCAAAGUUGAUUCAUAGAUUUAAGCAAUCUAGUAGAAACUGCAGUGUACUACCUACUAAUUAGAUGGAUCCCUUAUCAUGGUCAUCGAGAUAACUUUCCCAUGGUGAAUGUGUACAGUUACAUUUUAGACAUGACCUAUGAUGAAUCAUGAUAUUAGUUAUCGGGUAGUCAUGAUUACCUGAGCUACUAUACUAUAUGGACUCUUAACCUUAAAGGAUAUUGAAUUUGUGUUGAAAUCAACAUGAAGCUUUGACCUAUGGGUGAGAUCCUAAUGCUAUCACAUAUUCGAUACACAUUGGGUUACAAUUGACGGAAACCGAUAGCAAUAGGUAUUCUUAAUAAAAUAACCAUAAUAUCUCAUGGGACUAAACUCCAUGGGUGAUCCUAAGGACAUGUGAUCAAGAUGAAUGUGACUAUAGCAAUUCCUUUAGUAGAAUUUGACAUAUGCUCUUUAUGAGGUAGAGUAUGUCAGAUGAUCACUUAAUAAGAGGAUCUAUAACUCAAGGAUUAGAAAGGUAAUCUUGAAAGGUGGAUAUUGCUACCUUGUUAGCUAGAUUAGGAACAUCAAUUCAUUGGGAGUCCACAUUAUUAGGACAGGGCCCUUAAAAACAUGGCCUAAUGUAAUAAACUUUUGAAUUUAAUUAUUUAUUAAUAAAUUUCUAGUUCACUUUUAUCUAUUCUCAUUCCAUGUAUUAUAUCUUGUAAGCAUUCUAGUCCACAUUUCUUGUAUUGUAUAUGACUAGAGUACAUUAAGAGUUACACGGAAGAUUUAAGUUGCGAGUUCCUUGCAACUAGGCAACCCAUAAUAGGUUAUAGUGUACUACCUCCUAAUAGGAGGGAUGGUUAGUCUUGACCAUCGAGAUGAGUUUCUCAUGGUGAGUGCACUUGUAUGUAUGGUUACACAUUGGACAAGACUUAUAUUGAGUCAUGACAUAAGGUUAUCAAGUUUUCAUGACUUCACCAAGCUUUUUCAAUAUGUUAUCUCUCAACCUUUAGAGAAUGUUAAGCAUGUGGUAAAGUUACUAGUGACAUUGACUUAUAGGUGAGAUCAUAAAUUGUUCAUAUAUUUCUUAUGGAUUAGAUCAUUGUUUAUCGAAGCGAAUAACAAUAGGUAUUUUCAAUAGAGGCACCAUGAUAUCCCAUAGGAUUAAGAUAAGUGUCCCUUUGGGUGAUCCUAAGGAGGUGUGUUCAUGGAAACUAUGAUCAUAGUAGUUUCUUAAGUGGAACUUAACAUAUGCUCUUAGAGAGUUAAGAUAUGCCAAUUGAGCACACAGUAAAACGAUCUAUAACUCAUGGAUAGUAGAGGUAGUCUUGAGAAGAUGAUAACUUUUACCUCAUUAAAAUAUGGACACCAAUUCAUAGGGAGACUAAAUGCAAUGGAUAGCAGGUCAUUAACCCAAACACUUUGUAUCUCAUUGUUAUUUAUAUAGGGCAGUGGAGUGCAAUUGAUUCUCUAUAAUAAGAUGUUAAGUCAAUUUUAGAAUUGAAUUAUGAGAGAGUCAAUAUUGUCCAAUGGGUCCUAAUGGUCCCUACUUGAGCUCAUAUACCUUAUUGGUAUGGUCUAUGAGGGUUGGAUUGGCUUGUGGCUCACUUUUAUGGGUAAAGGAAUUUUGGUAACUAUGCAAGGUUGCAUAAAGGUUAGUGAACAAAGUUUAUAGAUUGGGCUAAUUGAUUAAUUAAAAGGCCUUGUAGGUCAAUUAAUUAAUUAUGAUCCAUUUUGGCUAGAUUAAGUGACUCAAGCCCUUAUUAGUCUCAAGUCACUUAAGCUAGUUAGGGAACCCUAUAAAUACUCUCUUAGGGGUGAGCUAGCUGUCUUCUACAAUGUAGAGAGAAUAGAGAGCCAUAGCCUCAUCCCUUACAACCUUCUCAUUGGUUGAAUGGCAAGAUCAAGGUAAACUCAUUGCAGUAGAAGAUCUUAGGUUUUUUAAACCUUCAACAACUUCGUUAAGAUACUUCACCAUAUGGAUUUGAUUUGGGAACAUCUAAAUCAAGGUAAAAUUUUUCUAUCUUGAUAUUUUAAUUCUAUUAUUGAUUUAAAAUGAAGGUCUUCCACUGUACUUAAGAUUUAGAGAAAGCUUAGGAAGAUUUGCAUGUAUCUAACUUGAUUUGGGCAUAGGAAGCAAAAAGAUCUAGGAUUCCCUACAUGCAUCCAGUGGAUAAGUAGGUGUCGGAGCUUUGCCUUAUUGUAAUUAUGUAAGACAUUAGAGUGUAGUUGACUCUCUUUAAUGGAGUGUUGAGUCAAAAUUAGAAUUGGAUUUUGAGAGCCAAUAUUUUCUUAUUGGUUCUAGUGGUCUCCACUUGAGCUCCUAUUUCAUGGUGGCGUAUUUGUUUAAGGGAUUUUGUGUUUGUAGUUCACUAAUGUGCAUAAGUGGCUUUUUAGUAAAAGUACAAAGUUGUUAUUAGAUCUUAUGCACAAUAUGACUAAUUAAAUUAAUGAGAAUUGUAGUGAGAUAAAUUAAGUGACCUAAGCCCAAUUUGGUCUCAAGUCAGUUAAGCCCACAGAGAAGUCUACAAAUACCAUCUUAGGGUUCGAGUUUCAAACUUUUGCCUUUUGUCUUUUAGAAAGAGAGAGCAAACCCUAACCACCUUCAAAAGAGAAAGAAAGAGAGAGUGUGUGUGACUUAAGUCCACAUUUCUCUUAUGCGAAGGUUUGUCAUGAAAGAGGAUGUCAAGUGGAUGAUUACUGGGUAGACGACUUCUACAACACCUUCUAGGGAUUUGAUUUAAUAUGCGAACAUCCAAAUCAUAGAAAUGAAUUCUAAUAUCUAGAUCUAGUAUAUUUUAUGGAUUUUAUAGGUAUAUUUUCCCACUACAUUAGAUCUAGAGAAACCUAGAGAUAGUUUACAUGGACCUUAUAUGAUCCAAGGCCAGGGAAUAGAGAAAUUUGAAGUUCCCAUUAGAGUUAGUGAAUGAUAUUUCUAGCUUGGGCUAAUUAAUUAAUUUAAGCCCUUAAUUAGAAACCUUUUUUGGUUAAAUUAAGUGGCUAAAGGUCAAGGUAUGCUCAAGUACCUUAGGCUUAAUGGGAAGUCUUUAAAUACCUCCUUAGGAGUUAGGGCUUCAAAUUCUUAGACUUUUAAUUCUUCCAUUCUCUUUUACAUGUCUAGAGAGAGAGAACCCAGCCCCUCCACUUUUCUAGAUCACUACCAUCUAAGUAUCUAGCUUCAAGGAGGAGUCAAAGCAGAAGACCAGUGGUUUCAUGAGAUUUUCAAUGACUACUAUGCAUUUGACAACCCUCUUCACCACAAGGCUAUUUUGCUUCAUUGGUGGGGGAUAAGCUUAGGAAAGCAUGCAUGCACCUAACAAGAUCUAGGGAUAUGAAAUGGAGUGAUAUGAGUUUUCAUAUAAUUUUAGCUUUUUGCUUGUAGUUUUAACUUGAUUGAAUGUAUAGUUUUUUCUUGGUUAAAAUUAAAUUUUUUGAAUGAUGUACAAUGCACUUAUUUCUUAAAAGAAUGUGUUUAUUUUUCUUAAUGAUGUACUUUCUUUUUUGAAGGAUAUACUUAAUUUUUUAAGAAAUGUAUUUAAUUUUUCUAAAGAAUGCACUUAUUUUUCUAAGUGAUCUAGUUAUUUUUCUUAGGAAUAUAUUUAUUUUCUAAAAAUGUUCUUGUUUUUUGCAUACCAUACUUCUUUUAAGAAUGUACUUAUUUAUACUAUCACAAAUAAUUGAAAAUUAAUUAGCAAAUUAUACAUAAUAUACAUAAUUUAUGCACUGUGUACUUUUUAUUUAUUUUUAUUCUUUAUUUAGAAAUGCACAAACAUUGUUCGGUAAGCCAUUGAUUAAUGUGUUUAUCGUGAUCAAAGAUCCGGAUAAUAGUCAAACGUUAAUGUGUAUAAUUUAUAAAGGAUAUUCUUAUUUUUUGGAGGAAUGUGCUUUUUUUUUUAAAUAUAAACUUAUUUAGAUUGACGUAAAUAAGUGAAAGUUCAUUAAUGUACAUAAUUUAUAUAUAUAGCAUGGAAAGUUCAUUAGCAAUUUAUAGUAAAAUAUUAAUCUACAUAUUUUUCUAAAGGAUAUGUAACGUAGCAUUUGGAAUGGUUAAAGUAUCUAAAUUUAGUUAAUAUGUUUUGCAUUUAAAUGGUGAAAAUUAUGCUGUCAAGAAUUUUAUUUUUUAUUUUUCUCUCUGUGAAUUCGAUUCACUGUUGAAAUGUUAAAUAGAAGAUUUUUCCCAGCUUCUUGAAUAUUGAAGUUUUUAAAUUUGUGAUUGAAAAGACAAAUUGAAGUUUUUUAAAAGAGAAGUUAUUUAGAAGAAACGACGGUUAUGGGUUGAAAAGGGCAAAUAUGCUAAGGAAAGGUAGCUCUGGGCUGAAAAUGGCUCUAGGCCUAGAGAAAUGGGAGCUUUGGACCAGAAAUGCUAAGGAAAGACUACUCUUAGCUAAAAUGGCUCUAGGACUAAAGAAAAGGCAGCUCUAUGGCUCUAGGCCAUAUUUAUAGAUAAGAUGAUUACGAUGAUUGCACUGAUAGAAAUAAAAAUAAGAUGUGAAAACAGUCAUGGGCGUUAAUUUAUUACUUUAAAAUUUAUUUUAAAAAAUUUGGAAAUGGAACAAUUUUUUUAUGGUUUUACAUUUUUAGUUUUUGCUGUCGAAAUUUAAAAGUAAAUUAUGAAACAUUAUUUAUACGAUAGUUGCCAUUGAAUCUCUCAAUUAUGGUUUCCUUAGUAGAGGCCAAAAACAAAAGAAUAGAACUAGUUUUCAUCCAUCUAUUGCCAGGCAUGGCCACAUGGCAAUCAGUUUUUCUAUGUCAUUUUUCUUUUUCUUUUUUUUUUUUCUUUUUUGAAGCCAUAGUGGAAAGCUUCAUGGGAUAUAAAAAUUACAACUUAUCCAUGGGAAGUAUAUUUAAUCCAUGUAUGUGAGUAGCUCUUUUUUAUUCAAAUAGAAUCCAGGUACAUGUAGAUUAUAUUUUAUAUCUUUGUUUAUGCCCUUCUUCAUCUAACUCUAAGUUGACAUUCUAGGCCCUACAACUUGAGAAUUUUUAGAGCAUGUACAUGUUUGAAAUUUGAGACAUUGAUAGAAAGUAAAGAUAUAUAUAUGUAUAUAUAUAUUUAAAAAAUUAUUAUAUUAAAAAAAUACUAUGAAAACUAAAAAAAAUAAUCAUGUAUAAAAGAUUUUAUAUAUAUAAGAUUAAAUGGAGGUCUUUUUAUAAGGAAAUAUAAUAAUAAUAAUAAUAAUAAUAAUAAUAAUAUAAAAAAGAAUCAAUUACCUUUCCUUGCCCUAAAACUAUGAAUGAAUAUCUUUUAUUAUUUUUUACACAUGACUGAAGUCAUUUUCAAUUUGUACAAGUCAUAGGCCGCUAAAUUGAAAAACCUAAAAAGGCUACAUUGGAAAAAGUUAAGACAAGCUUGCAAGAUUAAAUCAUUAGCCUUGGCAAAAGUUAGAGAUUAAAAAAAUAUUUUGAAUUACGCUUGACUUGAUCCCUUCUUUGUUAAGGGUAUAUAGGCAACUUGGGCAAACUACGUGAGUUCAAUUAUCACGAAAAAAAAAAAUUUAAAUAAAAAGUGAAAUAUGUAGUUGUUAAGUGUGAUCCCAAUUUCUAUGAAGUGUUAAAAAUUACAAUUACUCCACAUUAAGAUUAUGAUCACUUUGUCUACAUGGUUUUUAUGAAUGACUUUAAUUUUAAUUAACUAUUAAAAAGUUAGAAACAAAGGUGCAUCUAAGUGCAAUCAAUUCGCAUGAGUAACGACUUUAACACUUAAGUUGCACUAAGUGCUAAAAAGUUGCACACUACUACAUAUCAAGUUUAUAACUAGUAUAUACGAGUGUUAAAUAUGGUUUCACUAUCAAUUAAGUGUUAAAAAGUAGGACACCACUGUGCAUCCGAGUCAAAUCAAUUCUUAUAAGUGAAUACUUUAGCACUUAAGCUAUAUUAAGUGUAAAAAAUCUAACACCACUCUACGUCAAGGUUAUUACUUGUUUACAUAGUUGUUAAACAUAGUUUCAAAUUUAAUAAAUUGUUAAAAAGUUGGAUACCAUUUUUCAUCCAAGCUAAGUGAAUAUGCAUGAAUAAAGACUUUAGCAUUUAAGCAACAUUGAGUGUCAAAUUACAACACUGCUCCACGUCAAGGUUAUAACUUUUCUACAUAGGUAUGAAAUAUAGCUCUAAUUUUAAUUACGUGUUAAAAUGUGAGACACCACUAUGUAUCCAAGUGAAGCCAAUUUGCUUAAGUGAAAAUUUUAACACUUAAGUCAUAUUAAGUAUCGAAAAUACAACACUACUCCAUGUCAAGAUUAUGACUUGUCUACAUAGGUGUUAAAUAUGGUUCUAAUUUUAAUUAAAUAUUAGAAAUUUGACACCACUAUGCAUUUAAGCCAUUAAUCCAAUUCACUUGAGUGAAGACUUAACACUUAAAACACGUUAAAUGCCAAAAUGUUGCAUAUUGCUCCAUGUCAAGGUUAUGACUUCUCUACACAGGUGUUAAAUAUGGUUCCAAUUUUAAUUAAAUGCUAAAGGCUAGACACCAUUAUGCAUUCCAACCAAAAAAAUUCACAUAAGUGAAGACUUUAGCACUUGAGCAACAUUAAGUGCAAAAAAUACUACACCGCCUCUACAUUAAGGUUAUGACUUGCAUAUGGUACCAAUUAUGUAUACAUAGUAAUAAUAUGUAUAAUUAUGUAUACAUAUGCUCUAGAAUCUUUAUGCUCUUAAAUUUUUACUUUUAAUUUAAUAGACCAAGCAUGACCUCAAUUUUUAAGUAUCACAUUUGCAAAUUAUUUAUAUUCUUUGAUUAAAUUAGUUUUUGUAACUUUUUNNNNNNNNNNNNNNNNNNNNNNNNNNNNNNNNNNNNNNNNNNNNNNNNNNNNNNNNNNNNNNNNNNNNNNNNNNNNNNNNNNNNNNNNNNNNNNNNNNNNAAAACUAAUUUAAUCAAAGAAUAUAAAUAAUUUGCAAAUGUGAUACUUAAAAAUUGAGGUCAUGCUUGGUCUAUUAAAUUAAAAGUAAAAAUUUAAGAGCAUAAACUUAUUAUGAGAAGAAAUCAACACUCUCCAUAAAUACAAAGAAAUUACAAAAAUUGAAAACAAAAAUUCAACAAACACUGUCUAAUUAAUCAUCAAGAAGAAGACUUUUAGAUUUUAGGAAAAACCAAAUAAACUUGAGGCACUCAUUCUAACAACAAAGAAAGUGACCAAGGAAGAAGGAAGCAGACUUACACUUUAGUUCAAUCAUAAAACAACAUUCCAAAAUUCGUACGCAAAGAACAACGCAUCAAAACUACACAAUAGCACCUCAAAACUGCAAAAUACCUUAAAACUACCUAAACAUCAAUGAGUUUGUCUGUUUCCUGCAAAAGGGCUCAAUGAUUAUCGGGUAGAAUUGUUUCAAUUUCUACUCUGUGUAGCUCUUGCAGAAGGGCUCGAUGAGUAUUGAGUAGGAUUCCUUGGAGUCCUACGUUGUGUGGUUCGUGCAAAAGGGCCCGAUGUGUAUUGAGUAGGAUCCGUUGGAGUCCUUUGCUGUGUAGUUCGUGCAAAAGGGCCCGAUGAGUAUCGAGUAGGAUCCGUUGGAGUCCUUUGCUGUGUAGUUCGUGCAAAAGGGGCGCCCGAUGAGUAUCGAGUAGGAUCCGUUGGAGUCCUUUGCUGUGUAGUUCGUACAAAAAGGCCCGAUGAGUAUCGAAUAGGAUUCGUUGGAGUCCUUUGCUGUGUAGUUUGUGCAAAAGGGCCCCAUGAGUAUCGAGUAGGAUUCGUUGGAGUCCUGUUCUGUGUCCUUCGUGCAAAUGGUGUUUUUGAAUUUUGAGGAGAAUCCAUUCCAAUACUCCUCUGUGUAGUUCGGCCAAAUGGUGAUUCAGGCUCAAGGCCGGACGGUCUUUGACCCGGAAUGCCUGCUACUUGCUGUGUGUUGCUGCUUGACCUCGGUACAGGCUGGGGGCUGGGGGCUGGGGGCUGGACGACUGUACACGCUCAGAAUUCAACGAGCGUUGAUGUUGAGAGCUUGACGAUAAUCCAUGGCGAGGAGGGCUGAUGCUUGUUUCAAGAAGGGCAUCUGCUAUUGGUUGGAGGAAAGAUGGUACAUCCGACGUAGCUGCUUGCUGGUAUUGCUAUAUUUCUGCCUGAGAAGAAUCAGGGAUAACUACGAAUCGUGGAAGAAAUUAAGUUUGGUCAUCCUUUUAAACUCCCUCUGACCACCAACUCAUAUCCAUACUUACCUAAU
rnacentral:lncRNA from 1 species